rnacentral:lncRNA from 1 species
AGAACGUCCACACAAGCGCCUAGCUUCAACGUGUCGAUUGGGCAAGUCUCUGGCUUAGGUGGAGUUGGUGUUGGCGGUGUUACGACCGGUGGGCUUGGUGUUGGUGGCGUAACAACAGGUGGCGGUGGGCACGGUGAUGGCGGUGGCGGUGGGCACGGUGAUGGCGGCGUUACGACGGGUGGAGGCGUAUGAGUGGGUGGUUUAGGGGUGGACGGAGGUGGUUUAACAGUGGGCGGUUUCGUGGGUGGUUUCGGGGUAGACGGAGGAGGUUUAACGGUGGGCGGUUUCGUGGGUGGUUUCGGGGUGGACGGAGGUGGUUUAACGGUGGGCGGUUUCGUGGGUGGUUUCGGGGUGGGAUGAGGUUUGGUAGGGGGUUUCGGAUGUGGGUGUGGUUUGACAGUGGGCGGUUUGGUAGGGGGUUUAGGGUGUGGGUGUGGUUUGACGGUGGGUGGUUUGGGAGGUUUUACUGCCGGUGGUUUAGGCGGUUUGCUAGGAUGUUUAGGCGGUUUGUGGGGGUGAGGUGAUGGUUUAGGAGGGCUACAGUCGCAAGCGAAGGAGACGGCAAGAAAGCCAAGGAAGAGGAAGAUAAGAAAAGAGAGGUUUUGUGUACGAGACCCCAUUUUUCUAGAGUGAGGGUGUGGUUUACCCAAAGGACUGAGUAAGAAAGAUAUAUGAGUGUAUCAUUUUAUAGAAAGAUAUUAAAAUAUAUUUGCUAUAUAUAAUUUUCAAAUAUGCAUUUUGUGACUAGAUUAUUGAAACUGAAUUUCAGUUUUUGUUUUUGUUUUGAAAUCUAGAUUUUGUAGCAUGUGUUAAGUCACUUAGUUACAACUUACAAGUUGUCAUUUCCUGAGUUGUAAAAAAAUAGGACAACAUUCGUUAUAUAUAUACUUCCAUAGAAACUCUAUUGUGGUUGUGGAUCAACCUAUGUGAAGAGGAUACAAAAAAAUAAGCUUUAAAGAUUUUAGUAAGUUCAAUUUUUUUUUGUAUUUUUCUUAUUGAUCAAAACACUGCCAAAAGCAAAUAAACUGCAUUUGGUGCGAAGAACUCAAAUACUACUCCUCGCAAGGUUUCUGCCAAAUCAUUUGCUCUAUCCUUCUCCCUUUGAGUUUUUUUUAAUCUAGGGAGAUAUAUAUACCUUGUUAUUCAUAGUCUACUUAGAACAAGGAAGCAGAUAUAUAUUAGAUUUCUAAUAUACAACCUCUGAGUAACUCGGAUUCGGCCACCUCCUCGAAUCAUAGGAUGACUCUAUCCACUCUUCAAUGUACGUAAUAUUAUUUGAUCAUCCAUGUUUUUGCACUCGGUAAUUUCUAGCUAUAUAUUAAAACUGGAAAUUGUUUUGAGUAAAUUCGAUUAUGAAUAGUUGGUAAACGUAUGGUUUUAUGCUUCUGCCACGGUUGUUUAAAUAAAGGAAUAAAAGAGUGCAAUUUUAACCAAAAAAAAAAAAGAGAGAGAGAGAGAGUGCAAUUUCAGUUCUACGAGACCUUGAUCUGAAUCCAAAAUAUAUUAUGAUAAAAAAAAAAUUCAUGCCACCAAAAAUAUUUUUCUUAAAGAAAAUAUGAUAAUUGGCCAAAAACCAUGAAAUUUGUGUUUUGUUUUAUCAACGUUGAGUUGACCUAGUGAUAAAGGAAUUGCGACUGUAACUUCCGCCACUUGGGUUCAAUUCACAGUGAAAGAAACUAUUUACAAUGCUUGGGUUUUCGGUUUUUUAGACCAAAAAGAAAAAUCCUUUGUUUUAAUUUCUUGGACAUGAUCAUAAUGGUUUAGCCAAUAUAAAACGUACAAACAUGAAAAUGUUUGACGAAACGACCACCGGAGAUAGAAUUGUCAUCAUGCAUUGAAAAACAUAAACUUUCGCAAAGGUAGGCACCAUUAUCGUACGUCUUAUAUGUUUUCUAUUUCUUUCUUUUGUUCUCGUUUCCAAAAGGCUAUUGUCACCAAGCUUUUCCAUCACAUAUUUUCCGUAAAAUGAUCGAUAUUUUCAUAUAUGGGUAAAACUUAGCUUUUCCAAAUAUGCGUUCUCUUUUUAUAAUCCUGUCUAAUAGUGUCUUGCACUCUGGUUUGUUAAAUCGGAGAUCCAGUUGGUCAAAUAUCUAAAAUCAAGGCGUAAAUCAGGGAAAUGUCCCGAUAUUGCCAAGCUCUAAUACUCUAGCAUAAUAGCAUUUUAAAGAAUGCCCAGUCUAUCAGCGUUUAACAGUCACUAGAUUAAAACAUUUGUUAUGUUAUUGCAUAGAUUUUCUUUUCUAAAAAAACUUUGGGCAGACAUAUUUUGUAAUUACUAGUGAAAACAAUGGGAGUAACCAGAGGAUUUUGUAGUGUUAUGGCCAGUGGGCAGACAAUUUAUGAAGGGAUUUUGUCAGCAUUACUUGACUUAAGACACACCUCCCAUCUUCUAUAGUGACAAGAUAUAAUUAAAGACAUCCUUCUCACUCUUCUUUUUUUCUAGUUCCUUCCGUUUUAGGUCCACUUUUCGAGAAGCAUAUUAGGCAAGUUCAGAACUUCUCUUGGGUUUUAGUUUAUGUUUUUACCUAUUCAAAAAGGAGGAAAAUAAUCAGUUUUGGUUUAGCAUACCAAACCUACGAUGUAAAGUAUUCAAAUGUUCAGUAUUCAUAUAAAGUAUAUAAGUCGAUAUAUCUUGAGCCAAGGUCCGAGUUAUUGGGAUUUCGUAGGUAGAUGACAGGUUAAAAAGUAUUCGUUUAUAUUGAUGAAAUCACUCCCCCACACCUCCAUAACGUGUUUCGGCCGUUCAGUCAUUUACAUUUUCAUAUAACCAAUCUAGGCUUUGGAUCAUAUAUUAUCCAUCCAUAUGAUUUGUUCAAAGCUUUUUCUUUAGUUUGUUUUUGUCUCCCGCGUUUGAAAGAUACGAGCUUUGUGAGCCUUUUAUCAGAUCUUUAAGUGAUUGAAUAGCGUCCGUGAUUGAUGAUUCUCUUUAGAAUUUUUCCAUUAAAUAAUAUUAAUUUUAAAAUAUAUAUUGUACUACUAUUAUACUAGUGAUGAUUCAGAAUAUGAUUUCAUAGUGUAAAUAGGUCAACAUAUACUAAUUAAAGCUAAAUCUACUAUAUGAUUGGUAAAAUUGAAACGAUCAUUUGGUUAACACACACGUUCACUGCGUUUGAAAUAACAAAACUGUAAAUUUACUUUCUUCAGAACACGAUUUAUAGUUAUUUUUCUCCCAGAUUCUUUCACAUGGUAUAGAAAGCUUAUUUAUUAGUAUUGUUGGGGAUUUUUGUUAUUCAAAUUUCUAUUUGUCAUGAAUAAAUUUAUUAUUGAACAGUUUUCACCAUACUAUUCGCAGGUGUACUAAGAAAAGGUAGAGUGAAAGUUGUACAAAAUCCCAUUGUGUCCGAGGAGUAAGAGCACUUCCAAUGGAAGUUCUACCCAUUAAAAUUCUAAAUAUGAAUAUGUAUAUAUGUAUAUAUUGUAUAUAUGUAUGUAGUUGUGGGGUCUACUAAAUAGUAUAAAAUUUCUAUUCAAAAGGUAUAAUUUUGGAGAUUCUCUAAAAGUUUUCUCUACCACUUUUUCUCUGAACAAACUUUUUUUUCUCUGAACAACCUUUCUUUGCCAUAUUCACUUUCGCAUCUCUAUUGACAAUAUCGCAAAAACAUUGUGGUUUAUUUUCUAAUUCAGUUUAUCAAGAACUGUUUAAAAUUAUUUUAGUUAUAAACCUACUUUGUAUGAUAAAUUAUGAAAUUAAAAACUUUUAGAUUUAUUGAAUAAAACAAAAUAAAGUUUAGACGCCACUACAAGGUGGCGGGUAGGAUUUGGCGGGUAGCAAAAACAUUGUAAACCCGUGAAGUCUGUCACUUUUAGGAUUUAUUUUUCUUUAAAAACCAAAAAUGGGAAAUGGAUAAUGUGACGUGCUGAAUGCAUCACAUGCAUGCAUGUGACUCCACCAUAAUUUAAGAAAAAACAAACUUAAAAAAAUGUGGUCUGACUCUCUGAGUACUCAUGUCCUAGUCGUGAGGACACGUCAGUCCAUCACCAGCCGGGGGAAAAAAUGUACACGAGAAAAGAUGUCGUUGUGAUAAUUUGUUUUGCAGAAGCUUUUUUUUUUGCAAUUAAAAAGUGGAGAAGAAGAAAUCGAACCCGGUUUUGCGGAAGCUUGAUCAUUUCUUUACUGAUAGAGUGAUAAUAGUUAGAGAAAAUUGGCCCAUGUACCCUUAAAUGAUCCCUUAAUUUGAGCUUUGCGCCUGAAAUGACAGUAUUAGUUUUAUUCUGAAAUUAACCUUACUUCCUCGUUGACGGCUUUAGAUGAAGUUGUGUCAGUAUACCCUGUGCAUGUCGAAAAUAUGUAUCAGAUGGAAAAUUCUUUUCUAGUUCUCUUUCUUCUCGUAAUCUCUUUCUUUUCAAAGGUCUUUUUUUUUUCUUUUCACUUCUCUAUAUUAAAUGUGUGUUUUGCAAUGUCUUUCUUCUCUCCUUCUCUAUUUUUUUUUGGUGUAAAUGUUAAGAUUUAUACCAACUUUUCUGUUUUUUGAAUUACAAGAUGUGGCAAGCCACUUAUUAAGCAACAAGAAGAGAAAGAAGGAAAAGAAGCAAGAAACUAAGGUUCAUUACAAAGAAAGGCGGAGUAAAGCUGCAGGAGCGAGACAUGAGAUGGAGAUCGAGUCGGGAUAGAGAGCAGCCGGUCCCUAAUCAUGCGAUCUACCCUUGAAGCCAGCACCGUUGCAGGAAUAGAAGUGGUUGUGAAGAUGCGUGCGUUCCUUUCCCUCCACAAGCAAUAAAUGACAACCUGCAAAAUUAGCUUGAGGACUGGUAUAGUCCUAGGUGUAGAAGUGAACUGGUGACAUCGCAUCGCGUUGGCACACGCUAGUGUUGAGACCGGAGGAGCCGAGAGAUAUCUUCCUACACAGAAACGCGACCAAACAGAAGAAGCAUAGGUGCAUUGAAAGAAUAGGUGAUCAUGUGAUUCUAGCCCAGUUGAGCAGAGCACACAGUGCGCCGGAACAUUCAUGCCCCAAGACGCUAGCCGAUCCCUUGUUGGUAGUCGUUGAAGCACAGACAGCCAGGUGAUAAACGAGCAACGCGGGAUUUCCUCCUUAAACCAGACCAAGCCUGCCCAUGAAACUGGCUCUGCAGUCUGCCUUAUGAGCUCCCAUGUUCUCUUGGUGGAGAAUUGUUUGUCAUAACUACUGUCCCCACUGCGCCACAGAUAGCAAUCUUUACCUCUCGAGGGAGAUGGUGGUGGGAUUGUGGAAAGAACAAUCUGUAGUGUCUCGGACUCAUCAGAUCUAGCUGAUGGGAUUUGCCAGGUUCCAUCCCUAGUUGCCUCGGAAACUGUAGAGUUUAGGGGAAUGCGGAGAUCUCUUGGACCCGUAGGACCCAUUGCCGAGAUCAAAGGCCCCAUAUCUGUCCACCAGUCAAACCAAAAAGACGCUGACCUGCCAUCGCCUAUAGAGCAUCGAAGGAAAUAUUCAACUGUCGACUUGAUGGAGAUCAUAUUUUUCACCGUUGAAGAAAACCGUGCUGCAUUUUCCAUAAUCCAGUAGCUUUUGCGGAUGAAAACGUUGUUGUACAACCAACGGCUCCACAACGACUCAGAGGAGGUGAAAUAAUUCCAGACUCUCUUCAACUGGAAUACCGACUGAUAAUCUUCAAGCUUUCGGAUCCCCAAGCCUCCCUCUUGCUUAGGUUUACAGAUACUCUCCCAUGAAACCCGGGCUCCCGAAGCCGAAGUGGUUUUGUUGUUCCAUAGAAAGGCUGAGCAUAGAGAAUCCACUUUUGCGUAGAACCGCUUAGGUAAAGUGAAUACCGAACUCCAAAAAUUGACCAUCCCGUAGAUAACGGAGGUCACCAUUUUUAUCUUUCCAGCAAAGGACAAACAUUUAGCCGUCCAUGAAUGAAGCUUAUUGGUGAUUCGCUCCAGAAAUGGCUGCAGGGAUUCGAAGUUCAAACGAGUCGGAUUCAGGGGUAAGCCUAGAUAACGGGUAGGAAAAGAGCCCUUCUUGAAUCCUGAGAGGUCACUAAUUACAGAAGCUUCGAUACUACUAUAACCCCCAAGAAAGAUUUCUGAUUUUGUGGGGUUAGUAUCAAGACCAGUCCAGCAUUUGAAAGACCUCAUUACUGCUUUAAUCCCAUUGAUUGAGUGAUUAGACCCGUCAGAGAAGACAAGCAAGUCGUCCGCAAACAGCAAGUGAGUCACUCUAGGAUGGGCACAUAAAGGAUGUAAACUCAUACCCUCUUCAUCAACCAAUUUCUCAAAUAAUUUUGACAGCACUUCCAUAAUCAUGAUAAAGAUAUAUGGGGAGAUAGAGUCACCUUGACGCAAGCCUUUUUUACCGGCGAAGAAUCCAGCCAGCUCGCCAUUUACGGAAACGGAGAAUCUUGGAGAGGUCAUACACUCUUUAAUCCAGGUAACGAAGAUCGGGGGAAAGGAUUGAGCUUGCAACAAUUUGAUAACGAAGUCCCAGCAGACAGUAUCAAACGCCUUCCGUAGGUCUACCUUUAGCGUGCAGCUUGGCUGGCAGUUUGCUGAGUUGUAUGACUGAAUCAGUUCGGUCGCUAAGAGGACAUUGUCCCCCAGAGAUGUGCCCUUCAGAAAAGCCGCUUGAUUUGGGCUCACACAAGACUGCAUAAGAGGUUUUAACCUGUUGGUGAUUAUUUUCGAAAUGACCUUGUAGACUAUGUUGCAGCAACUAAUCGGUCUGUAGUCUCCCAGUCUGCAUGCUUCAGGGGUCUUAGGUAUUAGAGCAAUGGCUGUGGUAUUCAGAUCCUUUAGGAGACGACCAUUCCUGAAGAAUUCUGCUACCGCAUUAACGACGUCCUGCCCUACGGUGUCCCAAGAAGCCCGGAGAAACUCAACACAAUAGCCAUCGGGGCCAGAACUCUUGUUCAGCGGCAUUGAGAAGACUGUGGCCCGGAUCUCCGCUGCUGUGACUACUCUACUCAAAUACCGUUGUUGUAAUUCUGAGCAUCUGAACCCUAACAGACCUUGUAGUUCAGUGACAGUUACCGGCGAAGUAGCCAUAUCUGUCUGCCCUAAGAUUCCUUCAAAAUAAGCCGCAGAAUGGGCUUUAAUACCAGCAGCUGUUCCAAUAAACUGAUCAUUUUCGCCUUUAAGGAAGUGAAUGUGAUUGCGAGUCAGACGUUGAGAGACUGUCUUAUGAAAGAACGGUGUGUUACGAUCUCCCACAUCUGCCCAUCGCACUCUUGAUCGUUGUCUAUAGAACUUUUGCUCUGCAGUUAGCAACAUGUUGAGCUUCGCUCGGUCCCUGUGCUCUUGCUCUGCUGUAUUCCUGUCUGGAGCAGAUAGUAGCGAACGUUGCAGUCCCUCUACGACACUCGUUUGCUCCUUUACCCGCUGAGAGAUACCACUAAAAUGAGUCUUGUUCAGGUAACGGAGAUCCUUUUUCAAACCUUUCAGAGAGCGGACUAGUUUGAAUUGAUCCGAUCCUACAAUCUGAUUAGGCUUCCAAGCUUCGGAGACUGUUGCAGCAUAGUCCGGAUGGUCAAUGACAUGAUGAAAGAACUUGAACGGCUUACAGGACUGUCGUCUUAGCGACGGAAUUCUGAAGGCACAAGGAGCAUGAUCAGACUGGCCUGGUUCUAAGUAUUCAGCAUAAGAAUCAGGAAAUACUGAUGCCCAGGCCUGGUUAAUGAAAGCGUGAUCAAUCUUCUUAGAAAUAGGGUUAUCAACUUGGUUAUUCCACCAGGUGAAUGGAGAACCCUUUGAUUGAGCUUCGAAUAACUCAGCAUCCUGAAGUGCCGUUGUCAUAUCUUCCAUACCCGUAGUAUCAAUAACAGAAUCAGGGUAUUGGGAGUGAUUACUAACCCUGAUGAUUUGGUUGAAGUCGCCUACAACCGACCAGGGAGAGUGAGAAACCGAUGUUGUUCUGUUGAUGAGGGUAAGUUCAUCCCAAAGAGAUUGCCUAGCUUCCACCUCAUUAAACCCAUACGCAAAAGUGACGGUGAGGUUGAUAUUUUCCGCCAUUAUGAAAAUUCCACAGGUAAUUGCCUCAGCAGAGGCACUAUACACAAAAACUGAUACCGUCGGGUCCCAAACGACCACUAUCCUACCGGCUGGAUGAUGUUCAAAAUUCCCAAAAUACCUCCACCCUGCCGGAAUUGCAUUCAAAAUCCGAGAUUGGUUAUUUUCUUGUACAUGUGUUUCCAAAAAAGCUCCCAGUAGAGGUCUGUGGAUAUUAAUCCACUCUCUGGUCAUUGUGUGGCGUAUAUCACUAUUCAGUCCUCUAACAUUCCACGCAAAAAAUAUCGACAUAAUGAUUAGUGGUUGCGUUUGGCCUUGCGGCGACUCUUUCUCCCGAGAACCAGCAGAAAGCCAUCAUCACUUGUAGCAUCAUGAUCAGUUUGUGAGUAACCUGACCUGUGCUCCUCCACUCGCCUCUCGUGAAUUACAUCACUACUAGACUCUUUAGUAGUAUUAUAAUUCAGUGAGACUUUAUCAUUUGUAGAUUGUCUGGUACAACCAUUUUCCGGAGGAUGCACUGCAUCCUCAACAGCCACUCCCUCCGCAGCAUCCUCAGCAGCCACUGCAACCUCAGCAGUCCCAGUGGGAUCAAUUGAUGUCUCCGCUGUUCCUAGACUGAUCUCUCCCUCCUCUCGAUCAAUGGCAGCAGGAUCUCUGUCUUUUUCCGGAGAGAUCUUCACAUUAUGGACAGGUUUACGGGAAUGCCUUCUAUUGUUGGGGCGGGAGCGUCCAGCGCGUUCCUGAAUUGGUUUCUUCUCCCUACUACGAGAUGUGCUUCUGUCCCGAUUAACCACUGUUCUUCCUCCAACCGCGGGUACCCGACAUUUAUCAUUCUCGUGCCCAAAUCUCCCACACUGACUACAUUUUACUGGUAACCAGGGGUAGGUAACAGAUAUUUCAACCUCACGACCAUUAGAAAACCCUGAGAUAAUCUUUGAGGGUAGUGGUUUGGUAAGGUCAACUCUGACGUACAUCUUCGCCACCUUAAAAUUUUCCUUGCGCUCUGUCUCCGGUGCAAGUGAAUCAGGCUUACCAAUAGCUGUAGCGAUCCUGCUCAAGCUCUGUUGGUUAAACAGUAGGUAGGGAACAUUCCGCAACUCCACCGGAACUACCGCAGACGUUAAUGGGGCUUCCUCUGGAGCAAAGUCAGGCGACCAUGGAGCCACGAACAUUGGAUAUCCAGCCACAUUCCAGCAUGUACGACUGAGAAGAGAUUCUCUUGCUUUAAUGUUUAUAACUCGCAGCAAGUAGCAUCCUUGGCCAAUGUUAUGAACAAAAAUCCUCGGUCCCGCCUUUGCCCAAAUAGCAUUUACCACACCAAUGAUUCGACCCAUUGAUGGGAAAUCACUGUGAAAUCUCGCAAAGAGGAAGUCUUUGAAUUCUUCUCUUGCUGAUUGAAUGUUGUCAUCGGGUAUGAGAACAAACGGCGCUCCUGAGACGUGCUCUGUAGGCGUACCAAGUUCUUCCAGUUUCGCUGAGGCCUUAAGAAGACUUGCAUAGUUUUGGUUACCAGAGGGCGAGACCGGCCUAACAGUCUCUGUCUCCUCAGAGGGUGUAUCCGCAGUCAAAUGGACUGGCGAUGAUCCGAAAGCCACCUCCUUUGCAGCAUUCAGAACAGUAUCAGUAUGAGCUGAUGUCUCAGCCACAAUGACUGGAGCAGCUACUGAUUGCAAAUCCCCAUUUCUUUCAUGGGUAGAUGUUCCCUCAACAGACAGAGAUGCCGAACCUUUAACAUUAAGAGCCAAAGCGGACUCGUCUUGAGUCAGAUCUGUAGCCGCGGUCACUGCCUCGUAGCUAGAAGAAAGCUUCUCCUCUACCACACCUGUGGCAAUUACAGCAUCAGCAAUGGGAUUGCUGGCGAGAGGAAUAGAUUUCUUCUUGCCCUUAGCGGCAGCGGCGAACCGGGCCAUUUUCGAAGAACCUUGUAGCGGAUGACGUUGUUUGUUUCGAAAUUUCAUGGGAGCCAGAGAUUUGAGAAGAAGAAAGGAGGCAGAGAGUUCUCGCCGGAGGAGCGUGGUGCUCUCCGACGGCGGAUUCGCGGUGGGAAAACCCUUAUCCUAAAAAUCGCCUUUAGCCCUCAUGAGAGAGAAAAAUCAGAAAAUUCAUAAUUGUUCCCACAUUUAUCCAGCUCUCCUUCUCUAUUUUGUUCGUAGAUUCUUUAUUUUUGUUUCGUUUUUUAAAUCUUUAGAUCUUUAUAAUUUAAAAAAAAAGAAAAAAGAAAUUCAUCUCAAAUUUGUUUUGCACUACUUUUUCAUAUUAUGUUCUUCAUCUAGACUUUUUUGGUUCCUUUUAUUUUAUUUUCUAUGUUUGAUUUUUCUCAUUAAUAUAUUUUAUCUCUAAUGAACUCUCUUUCCAGGGUUGGGAAGUUGCUGAAGAUCCAAGAUGAAUCCAGAGUGAUGGCUAGCAAUUUCGUGAUGUUUGUUGAUAUAUAUAACAUUUAUGUUAGCAACCAUUUUACUUGUUACCCAAUAUUAUUUAUGUUUAUUAGUGUAUCUUUUGUUUUCUAUCGCCAUUUGAGAUCAAGUUUUUUAGAUGUUAGUAUUUAAUUGUCGCUAACUGAUAAUAUGUGGUAACGUGUUAUAAGUUAUGUGUUGUUAGUAGAUAUAUAGUUGGUUAAAUAAUAUAUGGCUUGUUAGGCGUUAAAUUUUUCUUGGUACUUUAUUUAUUAGCUAAUACAUUAUUUGUUAGCUGAUACAUAUUUUCGUAGUAGAUACAAUUUUUUAUUAUGUAUGUUAUUGAUUCUUUUAACAUACUAGACAUAAUCAUGAUCAUCUAACAAAGCAUAUUAUAUGGUUUGUUAGCUGAUAUAUGUUUUUUUUUCUGAUUAAAUAUCAAAUUUAUUGAUCAAAGUGAAAAAGGAAUUUACAUAAAAUGAUAUAUUGUUCUAAUCUGUAAAGAAUAAAACAAUGAUAUGUUCUAAUAUGUGUAGACAGUAAACUAUCUCAUAAAUAGUCCGCUCAGCUUAUGGUUUUCCCUAUACUUCAAAGAUGAGAUGCGCUUCUUGACAAUAUUCCCAAUGGCCUUAGUAGUUGUAUCAACAGGUGCACACACCUCCGUGCCGUCUUGAGUUCCUCUCCUUCCACAACAUAUAAAUGACUGUUUGGAAAACUAAGCGGAGGAGUAUAGCAUCGAGUCUGCUCCUGUUCUGGCGUAACAGGGAGGUGACUAUAUCUUUCCAGUCCGGUGUUAUCGCUAGACCAAAUAAUUUCUUUGCUACGUUUAUCCAAACUGUGAAGGUAUAAGGGCAAGCGAAAAACAAAUGAUCUCUGCUUUCAUCCUUGUCUCCACAGUAGACACAUCAUUGCUCCAUUCUCCAUUCUUUCAUUCUAGUGCCUGUUGAUAAUCUGUCCUUGAAAACUAACCAUACCACGAAGGAUUGUCGGGGUAUGGCCUGAGGGAACCACACAAUACAAUGCCAAGGAAGCUUUGUCUUUUUAACUCUCAGGUAGUUCCAAGUCUUGGUAGCUGAGAAAUAUGGUUUCAAAUCAUCCUGGUCAUGUCUCCAUAGAGCUAUAUCUGGCCCUGCAGUAGCUACCGGCUGUGGAAUCUCUGCAAGCUGAUAUAUGAUUUUUUGAAUAGACAGUUUUUUGUUUUUUGUUUGUUAGAUGAUAAAUGGAUUGAUACAUAUUUUGUGAGUAAUACAUUGUCUAAUAAACGGUUCGUUAUUUAAUAAAUGAUUUGUUAUCUGGUACAUGUUUUUUUAGCAGUGCAUAGUUCAUUAACCAAAAAAUUGAUAUUUAAUAUUAUGUAUAUUAUUGAAUACAUAUUCUUCUUUCUCAUCAAUUUAUACGAUAUAUAUAGAAUUAGAAAAUAUUUCGAUCAAAAAAAAAAAAAAUAUUUCGCAAGUGUGUAAGAUAUUUUGUUAUUAAUACCAUUCAAAGUUCGUUGCUACUCUUGUUUGAUAAAUAGUUUGUUAUAGGAUACAUGAUUUAUUAUCUGUCACAUAUUUUGUUAGCUGAUGAAUAGUUGAUACAUGGUUUGUUUGAUGGUUCGCAAUUUAUUAAAUGAUACUUACAUACAUACCAACUAACACAUAUGUUAUCAAGAACGGGUUCUUCUUAAAUUUUUGAUACACCACCGCAUGAAUUAUAGUUGAAGAGAAAGACCACAACACAGAAUCGCUAUUAAUAUGAUUGGAAAUUGAAAACACAUUAUGAUUUGAAACAUAAAGGGAUAAGAACAAUGUUCACCGGAAGGGAUAAAAUCCCCGCAACCUGUCAUAUCGAUCGGAGUGUUUAAUGUUGAAUCCUCCAGUGAGUUUAAUGUCAUAUAGGAGUGUUUAAUGUUAAAUUUUUAAUACAAACAUAAGAACAUCAUUAGUGGUAUGAUACCCAUUUAGAGUAUCUAAUUUAUAUAAUAUUAAUAUUAAAACUAUUAAAUUUUAAACAAAAUAAAAGUCCAACCAAUGAGACAACAACAAAUAUUACCGGAGUCUAUAUCAAAUUGUGUGGAACGUUUCUUUAUAAAGGUACGUUAUCUUUCUAUUGUUUUGAUAUUUUUAUUUCAAAAAACCUAUUCAGAAACUAGCACGCAAGUUUCCUAAGAACAGUUUUUAAAAAAUGAUGUACUGAAUAUCUAUUUAUUAAAAUAAAAAUAAAAGGGAAUAGAGAACUAGAAAAGUUCUUAAUUGAGAAAUUUUGAGAACCUCAUAACAACCUUACUGUCCAAAUGUCAAAUAUUGGUUAGAUUUUUAAUAUCAAAAUUAAAUUUAACUAAGAAAUUAAGUUCUAUUUAAAAUUUAUAUUUUUUGCCGUAAAAAAUCCAUGUGGAUUCUUACCAAUGGUGUUGCUCUAAUAAGACUAUCCACAUCAAAAAUAUUUCAAUUAGAAUAUGUCACCAAAAUAAUAAUUUUUAAUUUUUUUUAAAGAGAUUCAUGCUGAAAGUCGUCAUUUGAGAAUUCUGGACAUGAGUCUAUCAAAACAUUUGUAAAAAGAAAUCAUUAAAAUAUUGUAUUUUGUUGAGAGAUUCAAAUAAUAAUGUCCUAACGAAACAUACUUAUGCAUGAGUAUGAUUUCUCAACUUUGUUUGCUCUUUGGUUAGCUAAAACUACAAAGAAAUAUUUGAUAAAAUAUCAGUAUUUGUGAUUGGAUAAGAACGGAUAUGUAAAUUAAUAUUAGUAUUUAUGAUUUGUUAGGAACGGAUUUUUGGAUUAAAUAUUACUAUUGAUUUCGACACGUCUACUAAUAAUUCCCAUCGUUUAGCACCUCAAGACGUAGAAGAAGACAGUAACAUACAGGGAAUAUUAUAGUGGCACAAAUAUAUCAGAACUCAACUAUAUUGUGAGACGAUUGAAGGUACAAAGAAAAGUUUAUUAUGUCUUACUUUUUCCACUUAUCUUCUACUACAUUUUGCCUGGAUUUGAAACUUUAUUAUGCUAUCUUUAGCUAAUUCAUGCAAUAAUAGAUUUCCUUGGGAUGAACUGGCACAAUUUUUUUUGAACACAAAGAUGAACUGGCACACAUAUUAAACAUUUGUCGGUUAUUUCGUAAGUACAUUCCAGAACAAAAAGAUACUAAUGUAUGUUGAUAUGUAUUACCAUUUACAAGAAUAACAUUGACAAAAGAAUAAAGAGUAGAUGUUCAUACAUUUUCAGUGUCACAUGAAAACACAGUUAAGUAAGUUUGGGUUGGCUCAAAAUAGUCAAAGCGAGUUAAGCGAUCAUUUAGGCCGAAUACUAUAGAUUAGAGCAUUUCCAAAGGCACUCUAUUUUUUCCUCUAUAAUUUACACUAAAAUAGAGUAACUCUAUUAUAGAGUUAAAUUUGCUCCAAUGGUUCACUCUAUAAUAGAGUUACUCUAUAAUAGAGUGAAAUAUAGAGUAAUCCUAUUUUUUUACUCCAAAUAUAGAGUGAAAAAACAAGAAUACUCUAUAUUUCACUCUAUUAUAGAGUAACUCUAUUAUAGAGUAAACCAUUGGAGCAAAUUCAACUCUAUAAUAGAGUUACUCUAUUUUAGAGUGAAAUAUAGAGGAAAUUAUAGAGUGUGAUUGGAGAUGGUUGACACAUUCUCUCUCUUUUUUUUUUUUUUGCUAAAAUUCUCUCUCUUUUUUCUAAUGGUUUUUCCUUUAAAGUAAGAGCAUCUCCAACCCCACUCUAUUUUUCACUCUAAAAUAGAGUUUAGAGUAAAUAAUGCUCCAAUGGUACUCUAUUUCUCACUCUAUAAUAGAGUGAAAAAUAGAUUUACUCCAAAUAUAGAGUAAUUUGUUUUUUUUUUGUUCAUCACUCUAUUUUCUACUCUAAAAUAGAGUACCAUUGGAGCAAACUCAAACUCUAUUAUAGAGUUACUCUAUUUUAGAGUAAAAAAUAGAGUGAACCAUUGGAGAUGGUCUUAUGCAAUCGGGAAUUUUUUUGCUUGUUACUGUUCAAAACCAAUAUAAGAGCUAUAAACCCAAUCUUAUAUGAAAAAAAUAUCAUGAAACUAAUAAAGAAAAUUGACCUUCCAAUAUAUAAUUACGGAUUUCAAUUUCAUGCAUGCAUGCAUGUCCCUGCACCAUUCGUUUCUUUGUUUCCUCUCACGACCCAAUAAUUUGAAAACCAAGUAAAUUAAAAGAAAUAUUGGUGGUCGUCUGAGUACUUGAGUAUUAUUCGCAAGGACGUGUUGUUGGUCCAUAACCAGCAGAAAAGACCAAGAAAACGAUAUUGGUUUUGAUGUUGAAUACACGUCGGUCCGACGACAGCAGAAAAGAGAAUAAAAUCCAGACGCCAUAUGAAUUUGUUUAUGUCGGUAACUCAAUAGCAGAAAAUAGGAUUAUAUAUAUUGAAUCAAAAAGCGAUCAUCGUUUUGAUAUUUUAAUUUACGCAUGUACCUGCACUAAAAAUAUUGAAAUAAAAAUAAUAAUUUUAAUUUUGAUUUUUUUGAGCAAAAUAUCACAAAUAAAAUACUUUCAUACGUAUCUUAACAGUAAAAUAGUGAUAUAUUUUAAUAUAUAUAUAUAUAUAUAUAUAUAUUUAUCUACUUUCUUAAAAAACAUUCAUUAGAAAUACUCUUAAAACAUAUUAAAAAAACAUUUUUAUUGAUUGCAGAUUUUUUUGUAAAACAGAGGUUGACUAACGAAAUGGUUGGUUUUCAAGUUUAUCAAUUGAAAUGAAAUCACAGUUAACUCUGGAUUUAGCUAACUUUUAAAUUAACAAAUCAUUUGAAGGAACUCCACAUGUCCUAUUUCUUAAAUAUACUUUAAGCACAAUUUCUAAAUUUCCUGGAACUUUAAGAGUUUCAGAAUACCGUCCUAUCUCCUGUCUGAAUACUAUAUAUAAGGUCAUUUCGAGAUUCCUAGUUUCAAGACUCAAACCUAUUCUACAGCACUUGAUUCUCCCGUGUCAAACUGCAAUCGUUAAGGAUAGCCUGCUUGUUGAAAACACAGUACUUACUAGUGAGUUGAUCCAUGGAUGCCAUAAAAACAAGGGAUAAAAAAAAAUUACCAUAAAGGUGGACAUAGCCAAAACUUUCGACACACUAUCAUGGGAAUUUCUUCCUUGAAGGUCUCCACAUCCCUCCUAAGUUCAUUUCAUGGCUCAAGGCCUGCAUAUGCACGACAAGCUUUAUGAUUGGCUAUAAUGGUACAGUCUCAGGUUAUUUUAAAUGCAAAAGAGGCUUAAGGCAAGGUGACCUACUGUCCUCUUACUUAUUUGUGAUCGCUAUGAACUGCCUAUCCUUUAUGCUAAACAAUGCAGCAGCUCAUGGGAACAUUUAGUACCAUUCCAAAUGUAGUAAGAUGAAACUAACACAUCUAUCAUUUGCCGACGACAUACUGAUUUUCAUAGAUGGGUCUUUGGAGUCGGUCCAAAAUGUGCUUCAUAUCCUCCAUGAAUUUGAGCAACGGUCUGGCUUGGCGGUCAGCUACCAAAAAACAAGUUUUUAUGGAUCAGGUCUGUCUCCUCAAGAAAUUGAAACGAUACAUGCAUCUACUGGAAUGUCUUGUGAGACUCUACAUGUCCGCUAUCUUGGAGUACCGCUCAAUUCAAAAAAAUUAAACCUUGCUAAUUGUGAGCUUCUCAUUCACCAGAUCAAGUCAAGACUCUUCUCUUGGUCAGUGAAUUCACUCUCCUUCUCAGGCAGGCUCCUCCUCAUUAAAACUGUGAUUGCGGGAAUCAUAACAUUUUGGUGUUCAGCCUUCAUCCUGCCAAAAGCGUGUGUUUAGCGUAUCAAAUCUAUGCGCAGUGUGUUCUUAUGGAAGGGAGUAUUGAUAGCCACAUCUCUGCAAGAAUGGCUUGGGAGACAGCAGAACUUACAAAAGAUCAGGGAGGCUUGGGGAUUAGGGACCUCCAAUCUUGGAAUAAAGCUUGCUGCUUAAAGCUGAUAUGGAUGUUGUUCUUUCGUGAUGGGUUUGUGUGGGUCGCUUGUUUCAAGGAGGUCAUUAUAAAAGGGUCCAUUCACAACUACUGGACAACUAAACCAAGCAGCUCCUACUCAUGGCUAGCCAACAAACUCCUCAAGCUAAAAGAUGAAAUCUUUCCACUCAUCAAAUUGCGGCUGGAGAAUGGUGUCUCUGCUAAAUUUUGGUUUGAUAACUGGACUCCCUUUGGAAGCCUUUCGACUUUCCUCAGUAACUCCUCGUCAAAAUUGGGUAUUCAUGAAAAAGCUUAUGUAGCCUCACAAUGUAAGAAUGGAAUUUGGCGGCUUCCACCUGCAAGAACAGAAGAACAAGUUCAAUUACAGACAUACUUCACUACCGUCACUCUCACUCAGGCUCAGGACUACUAUGAAUGGGAGCUGGAAGGUAAACCUACUCAGACUUAUAGCACCCGAGAUGUUUACACUUACUUGAGAGGAGAAAUCAAUUAUGUGAUUUGGUCUUCCUAUGAGAUCAAAAGACACAACUUCCUUGUUUGGUUGGUAAUCCAAAACCGAGGUCCAACUAAAGACAAAAUACUCGGAUGGAGCCUUCAGGUUUCGCCACUAUGUCUACUUUGCAACUCAACUAUGGAGUCUAUAAAUCAUCUCUACUACGACUGCCCAUUCAGCUUUGAUCUUUGGUCCUUGGCUACUUCACGGUGUAGGAUCACCCCCACUAGAGAUUGGAACGAUACAGUCUCUUAGAUGAUUGGACUAUCUAGAAGCAAAUCGAGGCGCCAUCAAACUCUCCUAACUCUCCUAGCUGGAUAUGGAAUGAAAGGAAUUCUCGUCUUCACUCCAAUGUAUAUCGAUCGGUCAAUACUAUCUUUGCAAUAUUUGAUCGUCAACUGAGAAACAAGAUUAUGAGCUUCAGAGCAUCUAAUUCGGUUCUCUCCUCAGCAAUGUUGCAAGCAUGGUUCUCAGUGGGUUAGACUUCUCUCCGUCGACGGAUUCAUCCUCUCCCACCUCUCAACCAUCGUGCUUUCCGUCACAAGAAAACUGAUUGUCUUUUCUAAUCUGGAUAUGUGGGCUUUUUUUCUGUUUACUUAAUGGGUCAUGAAUCAUUAAGAUUUCUUUAUUAUGAGUUUUAAGUCUGGGUUGAGCCCUGGUAACUAAAGUCAAAAGCUUGUAAACAAUUUUAUUUUAUUUUCAUUUAAUGAAAGCCUAAGUUACAGAAAAAGAAACACAUUCAUGUAUUUCAAUACAUAACAAAUGUACUGUAUUCCUUGACAAAAGAACAAAAGUAGAGUAAUUAUUUGCUAUUAUUACAUAUUAAGCAAAAAAUGUUUUGAGGAUUUGGAUUUGGGUUUGUCACAUGGAUACCCAGUUAACAGCCUGGGCCGAUUCAAAGAACUCAAAGUAAACCUGAGCCAAUUAUAUUAGACUUCACGGCCCAUUAUAUAAGCUUCUUCUGGUCUAGUGGAUGGUCUCAAUUCUCAAAAUAUUCGAGGAAAUGAGAAAAUGUAUAGCAUCCAGCCUUGGAAUGAGCACUAUUGCUGUAUAACAGACAUGUCAGGGAGAGUAGACCGCGUUUGUGGAGCCUACGAGUUUCUUAAAAGACUUGGUGAAGAAGGCAGGUGAAUGUAACUGAAUUUACACCUGACAAUUUCAUGUAAACUCCGUUACAAAAAAAAAAAAUUCAUGUAAACUUUUGUAAGAUAUAAUCAUAUAAACGUAAUAAUGUUACUUGCUUUGAAUUAAUAAAAAGUUAUUACAAACAACAAGCCAUUGGCCAAACUAUAACCAUAACCUUAUGAAUAUCAAAAAUAAAUUUUAUAAUGUAUUUAUUAGUGAGGUUGAACUUUAUAGUAGGGUUUUUAUUUUGGUUUGUAUAUGAUGAUCACAUUAGAUAUUACAACUACCAUAUGCAUGGAGAUUGAAAAUUGCAUGAACAACCUAAAAAAAAAACUUACUAGUCAUUAAACUCAACCACUAGUCGUCCACCACUAAAUAAACUCAUAAGAAAUAUAUUUAUACAUACAGUUGUAUAUUUUUUAUUAAACUACAAAAAGGUGAAAGAAUACUAGAAAGUUUGUUCCAGCCUAUCAUUUCAUGUGUGUUUAAAACCCUAUAUAAUGUGAAGAGACAUAAUUUAAUCAUAAUUAACAUUAAAAGUUAUAAAAUAUGAUUGAGAGUCUUGAGCUGUUUUGUUAAUUGUAAUUGGAAUUAAGCUCAAUAUGCAUAUUGAGGUUAAUGGGACUCGUAAUGUUUCUAGAUUCAUCCCCUCUUCCUAACCCAUUUCUCACUCGGUUUUAUCAUUUCUUCAAUGUUUGGCUUUUGUAUUAUACUGGCCAGACUCGAUAUCAACGUCAAAGACCCGUCUCAGGCAAAAUCGCAAUUACAGUUAUAACUGUAAUUAACAUCAGAGCUAAGGAAUUGAAAAGAAUAUAGAUAAACGAUAAUGAUCUUUAAUCUAGGCAUGUUUGUAGCCUAUACUACCUUCACCAAAAAUCUUCCUAGGCAAGUUUGAUUUCAACAUCAUCCCCAUAUUUAUUGUCAAAAGACUAUUCUGGUCUUUCAGAAAACUCUAUUAAAUAUAUUUCACUAAUCCAAAUUUUAGCAAUAAAAAACGAUUAAAGAAAAAAAAAGCCAAAUUAAUUUUGUGGAAGGAAAAAGGCCAAUCACAGUUUAUUUUCGACUACAACUCAUAUAUGAUAGAUAAUAUCAAACCAUUAUGCCAUAAAAAGAAGAAAAAUAUAAAGUUGUAACUUAUAUUUAUAAUUUAAAUUGAAAUUUUCAAAGGCUGGUUUCAAGAGGAUUCUUUUUAAAGGAAAAUUUAGAAUUCUCACAACCUUUAUUGAGCUAAUUUGGUAAAAUUGCAUUCACAUUAAGUUCGUGUUUGAGAAAAUGUCUACAAUCCAAUAAGAAUACAAAAGUUAGUGUAAGCUAAUUUGGUAAGCUAAUUAUGGAUUGAAAAUUUAGAAUUCUCACAACCUUUAUUGAGCUAAUUUAGUAAAAUUGCAUUCACAUUAAGUUCGAGUUUGAGAAAAUGUCUACAAUCCAAUAAGAAUACAAAAGUUAGUGUAAGCUAAUUUGGUAAGCUAAUUAUGGAUUGAAAAUUUAGAAUUCUCACAACCUUUAUUGAGCUAAUUUAGUAAAAUUGCAUUCACAUUAAGUUCGAGUUUGAGAAAAUGUCUACAAUCCAAUAAGAAUACAAAAGUUAGUGGCUAUUUGCCUCGUGCAUCCUCCAUUCAUAUGCACGUUUUAUAAAAGAAAUUAUGAAGUUACAACUGAUAUUCAUAUUUUCAAAUCUAUCGAACUAAUGGUAAAGCAGCCAAAAGCUACUUUCAUACUAAUUUCAUGUUUGAAUGUCUACACUCCAAUAAGAAUACAAAAUUGAACCUAGGCUAUUUGCCUCAUAUUUUCUGCAUUUUAUGCACGUUAUGUGUAUUAUUUCUAUGACUAAUAUUUGAGAAAUAUAUUUUUUCACAUGCAAUUGAUUUGAACUUCACGUGAGGAUAUUUCUAUUAAUCGCUAAGGUAUGUGAUAUAAAUAUUGGUGCGUAAGAACAUUUAUUUUAAUUUAGCUACGUCUAAUAGAAAUAUGGGCUCCAUAAUUUUUGUCCGAUAAUUUAUUUUGGUAGAAAAUAUACACAUUUAUUUGGGAAACACUAUUUUAUUUUUCUUAUUGCCAAUUUGGAAAUUUGAAUGCAAGCAAGUUCAGUCACUGAAUAUUCGCCUCUCUAGGACCAUGAUAACGCUACAACCUUACGCUUAAAACAAAGAUGAUAAAAAGCUUAAAUAUGAAAAUGAAAAAAAAAAAAACUUAAACAACAAAGGUGUACGAUUUCAUUAUUUGACAGAGAAAGUCAGACCUAACAUUUCUGCUUUUAAGCGAUAAUAUAUUGUUAAAACGAAUCCGAUCAUUUUCUCAUGGUAGCUUCGAAGAAGACGUAUUACUACUAGUCCCCUCCUUAGACGACGGAGCCGAACCUCCUCCUCCUCCACCAUCCGCCGGAGGAACUUGUUGGGAAGAUCCGGCGGAUGGAUCCGACCCGAAAGCUAUAGCGGAUGGAGAUACCGUGUACUGCUGAACCACGGCGCGGUAAUUGGCUAGAUCGGUGGUGAUUACUAUCGCUGGUGUAUUACGUGAGGCUCCUGAUCUUUUACGGCCUGUUUCUUGACUCGGACGUGAGUUCAUUUUGUUGUGUGUCUGUGAGAGUUUGUAAGAAAGAAAAGUGCAUUUGCCUUCGUUACUUAUUUGUUUAUUUAUAGGUUUUAUUUUGAUUCGACUUAGCCAGACGAAGACUAUUCUAAAUCAAUCGUGACUGUUAGUUGAGUUUUACCAACAAACUAUAAGAAUUAAGUUUGGUAAUUGGUAAUUGCCUACUUUCCCAACAAGUUUACGAAAUUGAUCCAUUUCACUCUAUGUAUUCUUCUAUUAAAGUAUUACGUAUAAUAAGUCCUUCACUUUACAUAAAACGUUACAAAGCUGACGACAUAUUUUCCUGAAAGUUCUUCUAACCAAAACUAGUGUGAAUCCUGAUCCUGACGUGUGAUACAAACUACAUCAUCGAUCGUUCUCUUUUUAUUAAUCAAAAACAGCCAAUGACCAAGCUUGGUGAUAAUCAAGCCCUAAUUAGAAAAUCACACACGAUAUUAAAGGAAAACUAAUAUUGGGAUCACAAGUGUGAAACAAUACAACAACAACAACAACAACAAAAGUAUAUACCUUCUUUCACUUAUCUCUUCACUUGUUGGCAUUUUCUUCCAUGCACUCUUAUUCAUCACACUUUUUAAAUAAAAAAUUAUACAAAAAAUAACGUACUAUAUAUACAAUCACAUUGGGAGGGCCAUGAGCAGCAUGGUCCGUUAUUUCAACAAAAGAAUUGUUUCACAAAAUUAUACCCCACAUGCCUUACUUGAAUAAUAAACUACUUACCACCAAUCCAUAUAAGGAAUCCACAGAGAAUCAUGGACAAAAAGGAUGGCUAACAUAAAUAACAGACAACAAUGAACACCAGACAAUGUACAAAAGCAACUCUCUCUAGUCUGAAACCCAUUCUGUUCUCCCAUGAUUGUGUCUCAGAAGCUGUGUAUGUACAGAAGCGAUGGGAGAGGGAUUUGGGGCUAUGCAAGAAGCCUUUGUUUUAUUGGGUCUGAGUUGCGUCUUCUCUGGUUUUGCGCAGAUGCUUGCGUGAGUUUUCCUGCUCCGAUGAUGGCUUUACCUGACCGUGAUCCUAAGGAUUUUCCUGCUCAAGAAUGAAUAUUCAAAGUUUAUACUUAAAAAGACAAUAGAUCAAAGAUCAAAUGUGUUGCUUCUUAGAUGAAUGUGACUUGUUCCAUGUCUAUUCAAAGACUAUUAUCUUAAUCAUUAUAAGAAGUUUCCUAGGCCUAGAGAAAGAGAUCUGACCACUGUUUGGUAGAGAUAACCGUUCCUUUGGAUUGCUGUGAGAUCUUGGACCAGCACCAUGUCUUCUUGAGUUAACUUCAACAGCAAGGUCGUCUUUAACAAGCUUUGACCUAGCCUUGGAUACCACUGGAAUGCUUCCAGGUGAAGAAGAAUCAUUAUCAGACAGAGAUGGCCUUGUUGCCUUGCCACUCGAAACACCGGAUACAAGAGUUGAAGUGUUUGGCAUCCUGCUUGCACUUUUCAUCUGUGUUCUAUGCACAUUCUCACACUGCUCCAUACUGUUUAAGUUUGCAUCCUCUCUGAGGGUACUACUGUCAAGAAACCGAUUCUCCCAUGGACGAACAGCCAUCCAUCUCUCCAGCCAGUUCCAUCCCCAGUUGUUUUUGUCAGGUUGAAAUCCACUGUGCGUAGACAACUGCCUAGUUCCUGCUUGCCACUACAAGACAGAUUUUUUUUUUUUUUUGAAUGAAUGUUAAAUUUAUUCGAUUCAAAAACGUUGUUACAAAGAAUGCAGCUUUACUUCUAUCAGAAAUGGCUAAUAAACUGAAUUUACAAUUGAGAAAUCUGAUUAAUUUGUGUGGUAAGAAAACCAGACUGACAUUGCUCCUUCGUAUCCUUUUCUUCCGGUAUGUUGAAUUGUGGAGAUCUUAUUACGAAUGAUUUGUCAUUCAUAUGCUGCAAUCUACUGGCAGGUUGGUGAUGCUCCCCAUGCUUCCUACGGUUUCUCUCCCUCCAAACCGAGUAAGAGAAAGAAAGAUCCUUAACUAGCAUAGAGGUUGUGAGUAACCUGGUGAGUCAAAGCAUAAGCCAUAGCCCUCUCACGCUUAUCUGCACCUUCCUGCCUCUUUAUCAGCUUUGCUUGGAUUUGUUCAACUGAUCCAAUGCUAUCACACCAACCUUCCUGAUAGAUGAAAAGACAUUGUCAACACAAGUCUAUAACUCUCUCAACAAAAAAUUAAAGUGAUUAUCACCACUAUUUCUCGGACUCUGGCUUCAUCUGCUACCUGCUGCUGAAGUGUCUGCUGACCCGUUUCACAUUCCAAGGAGAGACGAACACGUCUUGCACGUACACGAGCCUAACGCUUGCAUGCACCGAAGCGUUACAGCUGCUUGUUUUCUCACAAUGUGCCCUCUAAUAAGGGCUUGAAGUCUAACCAAACCCUUCAACGCUCUUAAAGCCCUUCUAGCCUAAAAAAAUACAUCAUCCAUAGAGUAGAAAGCAAAACAAUAACAGAUUAUAGGACUUAACAAGGCUAAUAUUGAUACCAGAAAGGCUCGAAAAGCUUAUUGGAUGCGCGUUGCAGCCAUAUAUAUGAUCCUUCCUUUGUUCUUCAUAAGCUGCACUAUAUGAUUGUAGUUAAGUUGAAUUAGAGACUCCAGCCUCUAUCACACUAUGCACAGUAUUUAAAUCUUCAAGUCCAUCUUGGAACUUUUCAGCAUCAAAAUCAACUGAAUGCUUUCUCCCAAACCUGGUCUUGGUAGGAAUCUUGUUUGUGAUUUGGAGAGAAUAAGAGUAAAGAAGGAUUUUAAUUUCCUUAUUUCUUUAGGUUCUUCAUACACUUACAUACGUAGAGUUGUUGGGAUUGAUGCAUGAUCUUAUGAAGUCUUGCCAACUCUUACUUUCAAUAUUCUCUUCAUUUCUUCAUGUCAAUAUUUAGUGGUGGGAACCAAUCCUCUCAUCUACUAACUAAUGAUCUUAUGACAUAAACCACUCGACCAACUAGACUUUUCACAAAACUUCUAACGUUUCCUUUCUCAUAAAAGAGGCUGCACGCAAAUGCUAUCUUCAAAGCCUGUGCAACAAAUGAUGCUAUAGAGAAAACAUAUCAUGUAUGUGGUGGAUCAGGAUUAUACCUAACUUUAGAACUGUAAUUGAGAAAAUGUCAGUAAAACACACAUGUGUGGCUAUGGAAUCAACUACUUUAUUUUACCGAAAAACAUAGUUCUUCAAAUACAGAGAAACAUAAAACAUAUAGCGAAUGAGAAACACACAUUAAUGAUAAACAAGAAACAACAAAUAAAACUUAAACUGUUAUAGUCCGAUCCAUCGACAUACAAACACAAAUAAAAUAUUUUGAAUUAGCUGAAAUGAUAUCAGCCCAACCUUCUUUCUCUGCAGGCCGUCUGGUUUGGUUGCUUGAAUUUAUUCUUCUAGAUUCUUCGCCUUAUAUUUUAAAAGGUAUGGAAAAAGAGAAACAUCAGAUACAUUAAUCUCAGUUAUUCAUUCAUGGUGACAGUUCUACUAUAAUAUAACUUUUUAAAAUUCAGAACAUCACCUCUUCAAUGAGUUGUGGUGUCUGCGUUUGUUUGGGACAAAAGCUUUCAUGAACCACUCUGGUUUGUAGGAAACCAGUAUGUAUCCCAUCGUCAAUCCAAAGAAAACACCUGGUACAAAUCCUAUUGCAGCUGCUAUCCAACUCAGCACCUCUUCUUCAUCUUCAUCUUCAUCUGGAUCUGGCGUUUCAGAUUGUUGACAUGUUGUCGCGUGGAUACAACCACAAACUUGAUCAAGUGAAGGACCAUACAGUCCCGGGUUGUCCUCGAAAGAAGAACAAGGCUGCGUCAGAAACUGAGUUCCCCCUGGCACUAGACCUAUAAGCUGGUUAUGAGAGAAGUUCAUGUAAGCAAGGAACGAGAGGCUCCCAAGCUCUUGUGGAAUCUCUCCUGAAAGAUUGUUUUGCGAAACAUCCAGUGACUCAAGCUCUGCCAGGUUUCCCAGUGAUGAUGGGAUGUGGCCAGUGAAAGCAUUGUUUGAAAAGUUGAGCACAUGAAGCUCUUUCAAUAGACCAAUGGACCUUGGAAUCUCUCCUUCAAAUUUGUUCCCAGAGAAGUCGACUGCUGUGAAGAUUUUUAAGAUACGUUCCAGAUUCCUUUCUACACCUUUAUUAACCAUAACCACUGAAUCAGAAUAAUAAUUUGUACCCAUGUACCUCUCUGCAUAUCUAUCUUCUUUCUUUUCAAUGGAAUACAUUGCCGUCCAAUUAACGAAGAAGUCCGAUGACAAAGUUCCAUUGAAGUGAUUGUGGUUUAUGUCGAUGAUCCGUAACUUAGAAAACGGAGUUUGAUGUAUUAUUGGACCAUGAAAUGCGUUGGAGCGAAGGACAAGAACCUGUAACUCCGGCAGAGACCUCAACCAGAAAGGAAACGUGUCACUGAUUUUGUUGAUCUCCACAUUCAGAACUUGAAGAAAAUGGAUACGGAUGAAUGAUCUUGGAAGCUUUCCCACCAGACGGUUAUGACCGACGUCAAGCUACACUAGACUUUGAGACAUAUUCUCUGGAAUAUCUCCACUAAGAUGAUUUUGUCUAACAUUUAGAACUUCAAGACUUCUGCUAAAAUUUCCCAGACAGCUAGGGAAUGAGCCACUGAAUUUGUUGUUAGACAAAUCGAGAGUGGUUAGAGAGCGCAACUCACAUAUGAAACUAGGGAUCUUGCCCGUGAAAUUGUUGUUGGCGCCAGACAAGUAACUCAGAGAUGUUUUCCGGACAUAAGAUAUCCCAUGUUUCGUUGGGCUUUCAAAACCAAUCAAUGUGUUGUUGGAAGUACUCACGUAUUCAAUAAUUGGAAGCUCCCAUAACCAUCCAGGCACUUGACCUGUGAUUUUGUUGUUAGAAAUGUCUAGUGUUUUCAUGUUGCGUUGGGUUCGUAAGAGCUCCGGAAACUCGAAGAUACCGCAUCCUGACAAGUUCAACUCACCUAAUAAUGGAGGAUCUGAAACCAAGCUACUGUUCUCAGUUGAAACAUGGUUUCCCGAAAGAUCCAGUGUAUGAAGUGACUUCAAAUAUGGUAAGAUUGCAUUCAAGACAAGUGUAGUGGUGGUGUUCAAAUGGGAGAGGGAAAGAGAGUAUAGGGACUUCAGAUGCCAGAAGAUGCUAAGGUCAACAACUGAACCUUGGGUGUUGAGAUGAGAAAGAUCAAGUGUGUCAAGGUUGACCAACUUGGAGAUGGAUCGGGGGAUUGAUCCCAUGAAGUUGUUAUCGCCAAGGCUUAAAUCUUCUAUCCUAGAUGAUUCAGAUAUAUUACCAAGCUCAAGAGUGCCGUUGAGCUGGUUAUUUGACAAAUCAAUAUAAGUUAAAGAAGGAAUGGUAAAGAGAGAAGAAGAAGGGAUAGGUCCAGUAAAAGUGUUGUGUUCUACGUAAAAGAACUCCAAGUUGGAGAGUGAGCCCAUGUUAGGUGGAAGCAUGCCCGAGAAUUGAUUUCCGCUGAUUGAUAUGGAAAUCAGCUUUGUUAGAUUUAGUAGUUUAAGAGGAAAGUUACCAUGAAGGAUGUUGUUUCCAACAUCCAUGUCAGUGAGAUGAUCCGAACUGCCAAAAAAAGAUGAGAUUUCACCAACGAAAUUGUUUUGUGAGAGGUCGAGAACAGUGAGAUGUGAAAGGUUUCCAAAUGAAGAUGGAAAUUCACCAACAAAGUUGUUAGCACAAAGGAUAAGCUCAGUGAGAUUCAAAAGAUUUCCAAGUGAAGAUGGAACUUUACCAGUAAAUUUGUUUUGGGAGAGAUUAUUAAGAGUGGUGAGCUUAGAGAGGUUUCCAAGUGAAGAUGGAAUUUCACCACUGAAAUCAUUACCUGAAAGGUCAAGAGUGGUUAGCUUUGAAAGGUUUCCAAGUGAAGAUGGAAUAUUACCACUGAGCUCAUUACUUGAAAGGUCGAGAGUUGUUAAAAAAGGAAGCCUCUGAAGCAGAAAGAUAGUACUGUUGGAAUUGAACUGACCAUGGAGGCAACUGUCACUAAGGUUCAGCUUGAUCACAUCCCCGAAACUGGCAUCACAUCUGAUACCGUCCCAUGAACAACAAUCGCUGUUAUUCUCCCAUGACUUUAGACGUCGGUCAAGACAAGGCUUUUGAAUCUGGAAUUUGUUCUUGAAAUCCAGAAUCGCAUCCCUUUGGUCAGGAUGACACAAGUGUCUAGCAGGAUCCACAAACACAUCUCGAAAUAAAAAGAGAAAAGAAAUAAAAACAGAGAAGAGACUGAUUGAGUUCUCAUAGUCAUUCAUCUUCUUUACUUUCUUAUCGGUAGUUAUAAUAAAGAAAACAGUUUCAUGUUUCCAUCAGCUUGACUGACUAACGAGUCUUUCUACUAAACACGUUGAAAGUAUUUUUCAAUCUCCCCAUUUGGAAUUUCCACCAGAUUUAUACUUCCCCAGUUUAUCAUUUCUUAACAUGUCCGCAUGAUUUUGUUGACAAGUGAUCCAUAAUCAUGUAACACACUCAAUUGUGUUCUGCUAGAGACGAAUAGUCAAAGUCUAUCAAAAAUGUAUUCUCCUAGACGAAUAGUCAAACUCUAGCAGAGAUAAUCAACCUUCCCCCAUCUUCUAUAUUAAUUGAGAAGUCACUUAACUGAUGUGUACAAACAGUUACUUUAAAAUUGUUUUAACGUGUUUGGUCGAUUUUUUUUAUUUUUAUUUACUUAAAAUACAUUGCAAAACAAGUUAAAGAAAUAAACCAAAAAAGAGUUAGGCUUUUAUUGUUCACCUAACCACGCCAUCUUUCUCGAGUUCUCAUUAUGAUCCCACAAGUAGCAUGUCACUGUGGAUUGAAUCCGCUUGCAGAGCGAAACUGGCAGGCUGAAGCAAGACAUGGGGUAUGAGAGAAUGGCUGAGAGGACAAUUUGAAGCAUGACAAAUUUUUCUGCUGCAGAGAGAAAUUUGUUGGUCCAUCCCCUCGCUUUCUGCUCAAUCCGGUCUAAAAUUAAGGAGAAGAGAUCCCUCUUACGCCUCCCGAAGUGUUCGGGCAAAGCCCAAGUAUUUCUCCACACCACCUUCACUUUGGAUCUGCAACACAUCUUUAACCAUUGUUUUCAGCGAGGCUGGCGCUUUCCGGGAAAAUGAGAUAGCAGAUUUGUCUUUAUUUAUUGACUGCCCAGACACGUGUUUGUAUUUUCUCAAAAUGGACUUAAGGGCUGCACAAUUCUCCUUAUCGGCCUGGAGGAAGAACAUUGUAUCAUCCGCAAAAAAAAAGGUGAAUUAAUCGAGGACUGCCUCUAGCCACUUUCAAACUUUGAAGUAGGCCUUCUUCUUGCACUUUGUUACAUAAUCUCGAAAGAAUUUUACUACACAUAAUGAAUAUGUAGGGUGAAAGAGGAUCACCUUGACAGAUUACUCUGCUCGGUAUUAUGUUCUCUCUAGGCAAACUAUUAAUGAAGGAGUAUUUAAUAGAAGUGAUACAAUGCAUUAUGCAUCUGAUCAAGUUUUGGUGGAAUCCCAACCGGUUUAAAACUAACGUGAUAUCUCUACUUUGAUCAUGAUUACAGUAUACAAGUUAUAGGGUAAUUUAAUUUUCAUGUACCAAAAAUUUGAAAAACCUUUUUCUCUUAACCAUUUUCACAAUUAAAACUUAAACUUACAUAUUCGUACAAUUACAAACUUAAAAUUACACAACUCAAAUUUUGACUCUAGAUUACAUGACAAUUUCACCUGACGUAGACCUUAUUUAAUUUAAAAGGAGUCCCAAUCCUACAAGAGAAAUCAACAAAAUCAGACGAGAAAAAAAGAAGAAAAAGAAAACCAAAAAAGCAUACAAGUAAAAGCCAGGAACGACAUAAAAUGCGAUGCACAUAUAUUCAUAUUCCUCUGAGAGGUUUUACCCUUGAAUCUGUUCUUAUUAUAGCCACGAAAUAGCAAGAAAUGUUUCACGUUGGCAUUGAUAUGUCAUACGUGCAUGGGCAUAUUUUGCAUACGAAUCAAACCAAGGUAAUUUUUAGAUGGUGAGGUUUUCUUUGAUCACAAAGCCUGUGUCUAUAAUCCUGCCACCAAGACCUGGGAAUGUCUCGCAUCCAGGAAGAGAACUCACUUUGCCUGCCCUAUCGACUUGAACGGGAUACUUUAGAAGAUGACUUGUCAUCUCUGUGACUUCCUCUGCUGCAUACUGUCUCCAGUUAAGCUCACUCAAUCUCCUAACUCGUCUCACGCAUUCCAUGUUCUCUGGAUUUUCGAAACCUUUCUCUAGAGACCCUAGAUGUUCCGCCCACAGCGACAUUCUGUAUCCAAAGAUCUGCAAGAAAUAGGGAAAUAUGCAACAAAACCAUGUUUUAGAGGAGCAAGAUUUGUAAAUUGGUGACUGUGAUCUCAAACUUUCCUAAUUAUAAGGAAAUAUAUUCUAGGAGAUCUCAUAAUCCCCGAGAUCUCAUAAUAGACUGUGGUGGCUACUAAAGCUCCAAGCCUGUGAAGCCGAAGGAAACACUCUCUAAAACAGAUUGGUGGGUUUCUGGUUUUUAGUUAUUUGAAUGCAAACUCAGAUUGAAAUUUUAUUACCUGCCCACGAGGAUGAGAACCUUUCUUAGCCCAUGAGUGGUGUGGUUGAUAUCCUCCCAUUGCGAUUUCAGUGUCUCUAGAUCCUUCCAGGGAUCUCUCGUUGAUAUUCGCAGAACCAAUUAAGACAAACUCAUCGUCCACUAUCAUACCUUUGGAAUGAACAUAUAUCAUGAAUCUUCGACUCUUCAAAGCUUCCACCUGGUUUAUUUUGUUGUUUUAGUGAGAAAAAUGUUAUUAAAGCGAAGACUUCAACAAUCUAUAUGCAUAUACCUGUGGGCCAUCUUCUUCCUUUGUGUUGUUGUUAACGUUUCCAUCAGCAACCUCUCUGGUUCCAAGACAGAAGAAGUUCAAAUAGUCUUGUGGCUCAUACUGACCAUCAAGUUCAGCUUCCACAAGUGCCUUGUAGAUAGUUAGAUACAUCAUUUGCAUGGUUUUAUACUGCAGAAAUGAUGAAAAGAUUCCAGUGUAAAGGAUGCGAGAUUGUUAUUCAAGUCAGUUAAUAUUUAGCAAACUAAGUAUUUACCUGAUAUUGUAAAAUGCUCUGCGUAACGAUACCCGUUGGAUCACCUUCUGGCAGCAUUGGAAUGACAAUAUAAGCAGCAAAAUUUUCUCUUGCUCUAAUUUUAUUAGCAAUCUUAAGCGCAAUUUCCAUAGGGAUUAGAUUAUUAGCACCUGCAUUUCAAGAAACUCCUUGUUAUAGUAUUAUUGCACGAGUUGACUGAAUUGCCUUCAAAGCUAACAAUUUUCUUACCAACGAUUUUAUGUGAAUCCCAGUUAAAUGAUGAUCCAAAAAAAUAUUGGUUCUCAAUGUAAAUGAAAUGCUGAGCAGAUCUUAUGGCCUUAACAUAAGCCGUGUGUAUGCUCAUGUCUAUAAGUAUAUUCUUCCCACAUUGAAGAUUCUGUUGACAUCUUAAUAAUCAUCAGUAAAUAGCUACAUUGGUGGUGACUGAAGAUGACAAGUUUAAAAAUGUUCAGAAUUGUGCUUACCCUUGCACUAGCUUCCUUUGAGUCCUCUGGAAACCCUUUGACUGAGGUUGAAUCAAUGGACCGAAAAACCUAAAUAAAUAGUAAAAAAAAAAAUUAAUAAUAUGGGGACUAUUAUUAAUAUAUAGUUACUAUUUUACAAUUUUACAAUUUUUUUUGAGUUAUACAUUUUUGAAGUAUAUAUAUAUAAGAAUAAGAAGAAGGAUUUAUUUUACUGUUGAUAUACUGAUUAAAUCUAUACUAUUAUUUGCGAAGUAAAUUUUUGAAACGGAGCUCUCACGUUAAAAGUUAGAGCGGUUAAUAUCGUUUAUACCCUUAAUGAAUAUCUAUAUAAAUUAGUCAAAAAAAAAAUAAAAAAACGAAUUUCAAAUCAAUCUGAUUAAAAAAGUGAUUAAAAUUAAUAAUAAAUCGUUUAUACCCUUAAUGAAUAAAUGAUAUAAAUUAGUCAAAAAUAAAAGCAAAUUUAAAAUAUAUCUGAUUAAAUAAGUGAUUAAAAUUAAUAAUAAUAAGAACUAUCUGAAAUAUAAAUAAUUAAAAACAAAUUUCUAUUAAUACUAUUAUAUUUAUAUAUUUAUAUUUAGAUAAUUGACUAUAAAUAAAUAUCAUAAAAUUUUUAAAAAUAAAAACAUGUUUUAAAACAUAAGAUAAUUCUUAGAUAUAUUCUGUUGUUAUCUGAAAAUAAUAUUUUAUUAUAAAAUUUAUAGUUAGAAAUAAAACAAUUUAUAAUUAAAUGCUAAUUAAAUAAAUAUAUUUUCUAAAAUAUAUGUGAAUGUUUUUAGGGAAAUUGUCACAAAUAGCACAUUCAUAGUACCACUUUUCAUGUUUACACUAACCACUUUUACCAUCACUUUUGAAUGAAGGGUAAAAGACAAUUUUUCCCUUAGGGUUAACUAAUCUAGACUUAGAGCAUCUCCAACUCCACUCCAUAUUUUACUCCAAAAUAUAAAAAAUGGAAUGGGAAACGGAGUGAUGAACAAAAAAUAAAAGCAUUACUCUAUAAAUGGAGUAAUCCUUUUAUUUUUUUUGUUCAUUACUCCAUUUUCCACUCCAUUUUCUCAAUUUUGGAGUAAAAUAUGGAGUGGGGUUGGAGAUGCUCUUAGGGUUUAGAGUUGAGGGGUGGGGUAGGGUUUUUGGAGUGUGAAAUUUAGGAUUCUAAUAAAUAUAUAAAUAAAUACUUAAAAAAUAUAUAAAAAAUUUUAAAAAAUAGUUUCAAAAUAAUUUUUCGUUUUUCAAAAAGAAAUUUGAAAAAAAAUAAAAAAAAAUUAGAAAAUAAAAAUUUCAAAAAAGAAAAAUUUAUAAAAAAGCUCGAAUUUGAAAAAGUAUAAUUCGUAAACAAAUUUAUUUUUAUUUAAAUAAUUAUUUAUUAUAUAUAUAAAUAACAAGGGCAUAAGAGUUUUUUGCCACUUAAUGAAGAAUGUAUUUUUGAAAAUGUCUCUUUAGUGGUGGUAAAAAUGAAAAGUGCUACCAUGAAAGUGGUAAACAUGUAAUUUUUCCAUGUUUUUAAAAUUUAACACAACAAUAAGCAUAUUUAUAUUUUUCAUAAAAACUAAUGAAUAUAUAUUAAUAAUAUUUUAUUUAUAUGUUAUAUUUGAUAAUUGAUUAUAAGUAAAUAUAAUAAAAUUUUCAUAAAUAAAAUAUAUUUUUAAAACAUAAGAUAAUUUUUAAAUAUUUUGUUUUUUUACCUGAAAUAAUAUUUUUUACUAUAAAAUGUAAAGUUUAAUGUUUGAUUUAUCUUUUUAAAAACACAAUUAAUAAUUUAUUAUGUUGGUUUUGAUUUAAUAGUUAUAAACAGACAAAUAUCUAUAAGAACACUAUGCCCACAUGUGCGGGUAGAACACCUAGUAUUAUAUUAUUAUUAUGCGAUUAAUUGGUGUAUAUGAGAUACGUAUAGUAAAUGUGGAUGUAUUUUAGAUGUCAUAUGAGAAAAUCACAUCAAAAUAUUUUAAGUGGUUAUAAAAAUUAAUAUGAAUUGAACUGUGAAUAAGAAAAAAAACAAAUACAAUGUUUUAUUUAUAUUUAUAUUUAUAUAAAUAAUAUAUAUAUAUAUAUAUAUUAAUUAUGUUAAAAUUAGACAAUAUAUUUGCAUAAAGUUUUUUAAAAAAUUACUUUAUUUCCAGAUAACAAUACAAUAUAAAGAGUUAUCUUAUUUUUUUAAUAUGUUUUUAUGCGAAAAAUUUAUCAUAUUAAUUUAUAAUCAAUUAUCUAAUAUAACUUAUAAAUAUAAUAUGGUUAAUAUAAAUUAUUUUUAUCAUAUUAAUUUAUAAUCAAGUGUAUUAUUUGCACUUGUCUAAUUCGGAACUUGUGAAAUUUAUUAAUUUAUCGAGUAUUAAUUUAUUAAGUUAAAUUAGUUCAUUGGAAAAGAAAUUAGAUUUAUCCUUUUGCCACCACCACAUAUGGCUACAGUCCCCUCAUAUUUCUCAAUUACCUGAACAUGCCAAGACUCUGGAUCAUUAUCAUCAACAAAAGAAGCUUCUGAUAGUCCCAUGAUAUUUGGAAUUCUGUCAAUCUUAAGCAAAGCAUCCUCAGAAGACGAUCUGUGUAUCGAAAUCCUGUGCCUUUUCUCUGAAGCCUUUAGCCAACGUUGUUCAAAAUUAGCAAGCACGUCAUACGCUGCUGGACCGUCAAUCAUGCUGUGCAGAUCAUGCCACGGUUGUCUUGGUCCAUCAUCCUCAGUAGUCUAAUACGGAAAAAGAAGUUUCUUUACACUGAUCAAAAAUAGUAGCAAAACUGAACCAAACAAGAAUUGUCUUGAAUGGUUACCCCAAAACAAUUGUUAUAGAAAUCAUCUUUAUGAAGAGUCUUUAAUGUCGUAAAGAGAGGAUGCUUAGGCGUAUCAAAACGUCCUUUGCACACGUCUAUCCCUCCAACAAACGCUACGAUCUUUCUUCGACCCUGAGCUGCCUCAGCAUCUACAAUCACAGUUUUCUGAUGAUGUGUGUAGAUAGUUUGAACUUCCUGAUCAUCACAAUGAGGUUCAGAGGAUUAAACUAUACAUACAAGAGUUUAAGCAGUGAUGCAGUAAUUAUUGAGCAUCUUACAGUUUUUUUUACAAAGCUAUGAAGACCUCUUCCCCCAGAUCUAGGACAAAUAAUAACUUGCACCGACGAGUUCCUAAAAUAAUGGCGAGUCUCCUCAUCGCUUGUCUUCAUAUAUCCGCGCUGCAUACCACAAGCAAUUCGUGAAAACAACAAAAGGUUUGUGUAACAGACAUCAUGUGAGAUUGGUCUAGUGUUGUAACUUGUAGAAGACGUUAAUAUUAUAUAACCCUUUUCAUCUAUCCAGUUUCAAUCUACUAUUAUUAUAGUUUACAAGAGAUAUGAUUAAGAAAAGAUAGACUGUUAAGAGAAAAACAAUACAUAGUUAGGCACCACUUACUGUUCUGUACCCCAGAAAGCUCCAUGAAAUUGGAUCAUCCCACACCAAUAGCAACACUCUAACACCUUCUUGAGAUCUUUCUUUAAGCAAAUCCCCUAAUGUACCAUCGGUCGGAUCAUUAUUGCGACGAACCAGCCUAACCGGAUGGUAAACUGACCAACCUGUGAUAUAAAUCAAGUUCUUUGCCUGUCUAAUCGCAUCAGCCAUAUCCUCCCAGCACUUUCCAUGUAUAUACUUCAUCCCACCAUCGAGAUCUACACUCGGAAGUGUCCCGUCUUCAACAUGGGCAUCUUGAUACAGAGUAACUCUACCGCCUUUCCUCAAAGGGAAGUAUGUACCGGGAACUCCUUCGCACUCAUUACCAACACCCAUUUGGUAAAAUUUCAUCAUUUCCACUGGAGUGUAUUGAAUAGCCAAACUCAACACAGCACCCUUUUUACAUGGCUUCCCACUACUAUCAAGUAUCGGAAACAGCCCUUCGAUCGUGUUUCCUGAACAUAACUCCUCGGUUGGGAUUCCAACAUCUCCUAUGAACUUUGCUCCAAAACGGUCACUGUCUUUCACCACAAACUUUACCACCUUAGCAUGGUGAGCCACCGGUACAUAGAAAUGCUGCUUCCACACAGGAUUCUCAUCGUUGUCGACCACAAAAGUUGUGCCAAUCUUUGCACCUGCGAUAGAGACAGUCACGAAGGGAUCACUUGUACUGUUCUUCUUGUACCUCCGAAAACGAUCCAUGUUAGGAAGAUUUUUAGCUUCCUUCACCCAAACGUCUAAGUUACCAUGUAACAACACUAAUCUCAAAGAACCGUUACUUGACCCUUCCAUUGACAUGAGUCUCGGUAUAAACCGAAUGAUGCGUCAAGAAAAAGCGGAAAAAGUACUAAAUAAGAAAAAGGAUCAAAUGUCGAGCCCAACCCACAAAAGAAAAAAAUCUUUCAGCAAGACCUUUGAGAUACAGUUUCAGAACAAUCUUGAGUUCUAAGUAGACGAAUCAAGCAGUGCGCUCGUAAUAUAAGGUUUGUGUUAUCAGCCGUACAUUGUUGACCGUUCAAAUUUUAGCCAUUGACACACUUCAACCGUGGUCCAGGCUUUCAAUAAAACCUUCCUUAAAUCGUAUGGGGACAAGACAGUGAAUGCAAAUUAUCAGUAGAAACAAACUUUCGAGACUUAGAAAUACGUUGACUUGGCCGGAUAUUUGGAGUUGACCUCAAGGUCAAGAAAAUAAUCUAUACUAUUAAUUGCUAAUUGAUUUUUUUGCAAAGAAACUCUCAAUUUAAAAGUUAGAAUUAUUAAUGAAUUAUUAUAUUUAUUUAAUUUUAUAUAAUUGAUCAUAAAAUUAACUACGAUAAAAAAAUUUUUUAAAAAAAGAUGCAGCAUCAAUGGUAACUAAAUCGAACAUUAAAUUAAUACAUGCAUUAAAUUCAAAUCAAAAGAUAUUAAGACAACUUAUCUGCAUAUUUAAAAAAGAGAAAAACAAUGUAUAGGAUAAUUUUGGUCAGUUUAGGCGUUUGUUUGGUUUUCAUCAUUAAUUAUAUAAUUUAUCAUACGAAUAUAAUUAAAACCACUCAAAAAACGUUUUUAGUAAUUAUUUUGUUUGCAAAUAUUUUGAUAAUAGUUUGCACACAUGCAUUAAUCAAAUCCCUUCGUUUCUUUACAAAAAAAAUAAUUUCUUAAACUUCAUACUUUUGUAAAGCUUAUACAUACAAAAAAUCUAUACUAUUAUUUACGAAAUAAUUUUCGCAACGAAUCUCUCACGUUAAAAGUUAGAAUGGUUAAAGUCGAUGCUACCUUUAAUGAAUUAUUAUAUUUAUUUAAUUUUAUAUAAUUUAUCAUAAAAUUAACUACAAUAAAACAAAUUUCCAAAAAAAAAAGAUGCAGCAUCAAUGGUAACUAAAUCGAACAUUAAAUUAAUCCCUCUAUAUAUUAAUUGAGAAGUCACUUAAGUGAUUUCUGCUGAUGUGUCGCUCAUAGGAGAGUUCUCCAAUUAAUUGUUAUAAUUUGAUUGGUUAAUAGUUUUUAAUUUUUUUUUAUUUAAUUAAAGUUUUUAAAGAAAAACUAACCUUAGAAUUACCUAAUCUAAUAUAUGUUUCCAAAUAUACAAUUAAACAUCUUAAAUAUAGAUGAAUUAAUAUAAUUUAUUUAUAGACACAAUUAAAUAUCAUAGAUUAUAAUAUAUAAAUUGAUGAUGUACAUUUAAAUACAUAUGAUAUUACAGAAACAAUUAUAAAAACGGAUUUAAAUUUAUAUUAGUAGUGAAUACAAUAAAUCAUAGAUUCUAAAAAAACUAAUUAAUGUAAACCUAAUAAUAUUAAUUCUAAAAUGUUUCAAAUGAAAUCAAAACAGUCAAAUAUAUAAUUUUAAAAAAUUCUCAUCAUUUUCCAAUGACAAUGUGAUAUCAUAGAUAAGUUAUCACUUUUAGAAAUGAUUAAAAUAUUUUUAUAUUUUAAAACAUAAAAAUUAUAUGGUAAGUCAUUUAAAAUUAUAUUAAUCAAGAAAUUUUAUUUAAUUCAUCUACUAAUAUAAACAGAUGAAUUAAAAUUAUUAUAUGGCAAGUCACAUAAAAUUAUAUUAUAUGGUAAUUCAUCUAAAUUUAUUAUAUAGUAACUCAUUUACAUUAUAUUAAUCAAAGUAUUUUUCACAUGCUUUUCCUAGAGUAAAUACUCUAUUAAUAUAAUUCAUAUAGCUUGGAUUAUAAUAAAAUUAGCAAGAUUGUUUUGAAUAGUAAAAAAAAUAAAGGAGACAUAAAUAAAAAAAACAUGAGGGAAGAAUAAUAAAAUAUGUUUGUUGUGUUCUUGGUUCUUUAUAUUCUUAUGUAUUUAAUUUUAAUUAUUUUUCGAGAUGCAUGUAUUUUUUGUGUUACUAUAAAUGUGAACUAAUUAAUUUUAUGUGUUUUUAAAACAUUUUGAUAAAUUGAGUUAGAAAGAUCAAUAAAAAUGACAUGUUUUUCAAUUGUUAAAGUCAAAGAUAGAAAAUAUAAUGUAAUUUGCAAGUAGGAUAAAUUAUUUAAAAAUACGAGAUGUAUAUUUUGCGGUAUAAUAAACUUUUAAAAUGUACAAUAAUAAAAUUUUAACAAAUUUUAUACAAAUAAAAAUAUUUUAUUUUGAUAUAAUAUCUGAUCUCACAUUAAUAUUAAGUAUAUAUGCCUAAAAUGACAACCUUUCUUCAUUUAAAAAUUAAAAUUUAUGUUUUCUUAUUAAUUAAGUAGAUUAAAUUAAAAUAGGUAUGUUUUAAAGGAAGAAAUGGUUUGAUCAAACCAUUUAAGUUUAUGUUAAACACUAAAUAAAAAAUGAGUGAAAAAGUGUGAAUUGUGAUUUGAAAAAAUUAUAAGAGAAAUUACUUAGACUACCAUUUUCAUAAUACAAGUUUUCAUGUUUAUAUUAACCAAAUUUAUCCUAGGUUUUAAAGAGGUAAAUCAUACUAAAUAUUAAUUGAGAAGUCACUUGAGUGAUUUUUCUUAUGUAUUGUUAAAAGGUUAAGUUUUAAAAAAUAGUUAUAAUUUGAUUGGUUGUUGACAUUUAUUAGUUAUUUAUUUUAAUCAGAUCUAAAAAUAAAAGGUAACUAUAGAACUAAUUAAUAUAAAUUACCAAAUAACACAAGUAAUAUUACAAAUAAUGAUUUAUGGUAACUAACUGUAGAAUUGGAGAAAUAAUAUAUAUGUUUUAUCAACUUCUUUUUUCUUUAUCAAUUAUUUAUAUAUAAUUAAAUAAAAUAGUUUAACUUUUUUUAUUGAAAGAAAUUUAAUAGUUAUAUAUUCUUAUAUAAAAAAUAGAUUUGUAGGUAAAGAAUUGUUAGAACUUUUUAUGUUUUCUACAGUCCACACAGAAACGUUUACAAAAUAUAUUCAUAAUAAAAGCAUCCGAUCAUUGUAUUGGUCCUACACACAAAAAAACUCUUUUUUUUUAUUUCUUGAAGACUAGAGUAUCCAGGUUUUAUUAGGUGUUAAAAUAAAAUAUAAAGUAAUUCUACAACCAAUUAUCUGAAUUAGUUAUAAUAUUACUUUUCUGUAAGAGAAAUAUUAGUAAUGAUUAAGGUUAACAUUGUUGAAUUUUUUUAAAUAUCACAGAUCUUCUAAUAAUACAUAUGUUCGUUAAACGAACGCUGCCACACCGACUACAGAUCAAAAUUUAGAAGGAAAAAAGAGUAUUCAAAAAGAAAGAGAGAAGAACAGAUGACACGCGUCUCUGUUUUCAGUCGCAGAGAAGAGAGAGAAAUGAAGAACAAUGGUCGCUACUUUUUUGACGUCAGCGGUAACACCGGAAAGCUUCGCUUUUUUUGACGCUGCGUCUCUUGUUUUCAUUUCAUUUAAUCAAUGAUGAAGAAACCUAUGAACAAAUCUCAGACGCUAAUGUCGAACGCGGCGUUCGUUAAACGAACAGGGGUAUUAUAUAUUGAAAUUUUUGAUUAUCCAAGUAUUUAAAAUUAAAAAUUAAAAUUUUAAUUAUUAUUCAAAAAUUAUAACAAUGUAAAUAUAAUAUUUAUUUCUUCGUAUAAUUAAAAACUCGCAAAAUUGCGGGCAAAUAUGUAGUUCUUUUGUAUAUGUACUUUGGUUUGAUCGAUCAAAAGAUCCAGUUUGGUUCAGAUAGUAAGAUGCUCUGGUUGUUUGGUUUAGAAUUGUUCUCAUCGAAAUAGACUUAACUUCAAAUUUGACUUGGUUCGGCUCAAUAAUAUUCAAUCUGGGUUGGUUUCGUUUAAAAAACUUAAUGAAAUAUUUUUUUUUAAUAUCAGGUUUUGGGUCAAAAUAUAUAAUCCUCUUAGAUUCAAAAUUACAGAAUACUUUCUCUUUCCCUCUGUUUCUCAAAAAGUGCCAUUUUAGUUUUUUCUUUUUAGAUAAAAAGUAUCGUUUUAGAUUUUUAAUGCAGUUUUUACGUAUUUUCAUCUGAAUAUUAAUUGUAAAUUGCAUUGAUCUUAUAAAUAAAUUUAUUUAUUUCUAAUAUCAUUGGUCAAUUAGACAUAAUUAAUAUAAACAUAAAUAUAUUUCAAUCAUUUUCUUAAUAUGUGUGAAGUGUCUAAGUGAUAUUUAUAAUGAAACGGAUAGAGUAUAAUAUUAGUUUCGUUUCAAACGUUGCUAUUGAAUGGUCUUUUAUUUUUUUAUUUUUUUUUAUCGACUUGCUAUUGAAUGGCCUCUAAGCUUUGCUUAUGGUGUUUUUCCAGCUGAAUCAACGACACUUGUGUAGGAUAUUAUUUAUUUUUAGAGAUUUUUGGAUGUCUGAUAAAGAUAUUUUCAAAAUAGUAAAAUUUCCAUAUAUUUCAUAUAAUAUCAUAGAUAACAGUAUUACAUAUUUAUAUAUCAUUAAAUUUGUAUGACAAUCGGUUGACAUAAAAAAAAAAAAUUUGUAUGACAAUCUCGAAGAACUUUCAACUCACAACUAGUCCACCACCUAAAUAACAGUCAUAAGAGAUAUAUUUUUAUAUAUAUACAGUUUAAAUCAUGUUUCAGACAUUAGAGCAUCUCCAAAAAGGAACUCUAUUUUGAAGUUUCCAAAACUCUAUAUUUGAAGUUUAAAGGUGUUCUUCUCCAAAAACAAAAUUUUAAACUCAACUUCAAAACUAUUUAUAUUUUAUAAUAUGGUCCUUAUAUUUGUCAUAACUAAUUUAAAUUCAUAUAACUUUUGUAAAUAACUAGCACAUAUAUAAACAUAUUACAACAAUAUUAAUUAAUAAAAUAUUCUAUUAAAUAUAAAAAUUAAAUAAAAUAACUUAAUUAAUAUUAAACUUCAAACAAAAUAUCAUAUUAUUUCAUAAAAUGAUUUUCGUAAUGCAUAUAUGAUCUAUUAGUGCAUUUCGAAGUAAAAAAGACUCUCCUUAUUUUUAAUUUGUAGAUUAAGAGGUAAAAGUUGUUGAAAUCAGGUAAUAUUGAUACUUGUAAAUACAUUAUAUUGGAACAAGAAAGUAAAAUAAAAACAUAAAGUAUUGCUAAAAAACUAAUUUCUUUCGAUGAUAUUAAUACUUGUGAAUAUAUUCGAUACGAACAAGAAAGAAUUGUACGAAAAAACAUCAAAAACAACAACAACAACCACUACAAGAAAACACAAGUUUUACGAGGGCAGUUUUCCUCGCUAGUUCGUCGUAAAAGCAGUGUUACGACGAAUUAGCGAGGAAACCCGUUUCGUCGUUAUAUGUUUGUCGUAACGCAUAUAUCCUCGCUAAAUCGUCGUAAGUUAGCGAGGAAAUAAUUUCGUCGUAAAAGCGAAGGAAGAUAUUUCGUCGUAAAGACCACGUAAAGAUUCCUCGUAAGGACGUCGCUAAUUUUCCUCGUAAAGACCACGUAAAGAUUCCUCGUAAGGACGUCGCUAACAUUCCUCGUAAUUACCACGAAAAUCUUUCCUCGUAAGACACACGUAAAUAAAUACUCGUAAAAUUGACGUAAAUACCUUGAAAGCUUUCCACGUAAAGAAAACGUAAAAACCUUGAUAGAUUUCCAAAUGUUUCCUCGUAAAAACCACGUUAAGCUUCCACGUAAAGAAGCCGCAAAAUUAGCUACGAAUUUACUUCGUUUCAUUAUUUUAUAGAAAUAUAAAAAAUUAUAAUUAUAAAUAUAAUUUAAAUUAUUUAAAUUAUUAAUGAAAUUAAAAUUCUAAAAAAAUCAAAACCAAAAUAUUUUAUAUAUAAAUAAGUUUUGAAUUUCAUAAUACAAGAACCAAAAUUAAAAAGAACUUGGGUGGUCGUUAAUUAAUCGCCUCGUAGAAUUCAUCACUCCUCGCCUGAACAUCCGCCUCGGCAUGUGAGUCGUCGGUCGGUGACUGGCCUGGGAUAGGAUUUUCUUGUCGCAUGGUCCUCAACAAAGUCGCCCAUUCCGGAUUUGUGGCCGCUACAACGUCCAAGAAGCCCUCGAGUCCACCCAUACGAGAUCGCAGCUGAGUAGAAUCUCUACGCAGCUGAGUAGACUCUCUACGCAGCUCUUCGGACUCCCUACGCAGCUGAGCGACUUCAUCAUCCCGUCGCUGAACAUAAGACGAUGUCGCUAUCGGAACAUCGUUGACGGAACCAAUCCCCAACGUCCGUCCCUUUUUUUUAGGGACAACCUUAAAAACAAAAAAUAAAUUUUGUUAGUAAAAAUUUAAAGUUAAAUUAAAUGAAUAUUUAAAAAAAUUAAAAUUUUAGAAAAUUUACCUCCUCGUAAAGCUUAUCCACUUCAGGUGUGGAUAAGGUGACGGGUAAUCCAUCGGUGGACUGUUGGGUCAGCUGGGUCUGGCGUUCUUCAACCCGAGCAGCCAAAUCGUUGUAGAUUUGUUCGGACUUGCCAUCUAUAAAUCGGCCCGCCUUGUUCUUGUGGGUCCUCUCGUAAAGUUGCAUAAGAGACGGGAAUUCUCCCGUCUCUUUGGCCUAAAAAAACAUUUAAGAAAGUUGUUAAUUAGAAUAUAUAUAUAAAAAUAUACUAAAAAUUUAAUAUAAUUAAAUUUUUAAUUACCAUUUCCAAACGGACACCAGCGUGGGGUUUUUGGCCCGUAGUGUGAAGCAUCGGCCCGUUCCCGUGCUCAUCGACUGUGUUACGGGAGUUAGAGCAAGACUGGGCGAUUCUAAUGGAAUCAGGAAGACGCCAAUAUCGGAUGAGGCCAUCCCAGACAUCCGUGGUGAGCUCAGCGGGUUUGCCACGCUCAUACCCCUUCACGAUCCAGUCACCCUUCCAGUUGGAGACCGUGUCCAACAAGCGAACUUUCGCCUUCGCUUCAAACUUCUUCCUCACCCUCUCAGUGAUCCCGAAGGCCCAAUUAUAUUUUUGCUGUUGGAAAAAAUAAUUUAUAAUUAGUUUUUCAGAAAAAAAUAUAUAUAUAAAUAAUUAAAAAAUUUAAAGAUAUAUAUUUAAUUAAUAGAACUUACAGCGUAAAUUUUGAACCACGUCUUUCUGACGUAGUGGGGCGUCAUUUUCCAGUUCGGAUGUGCCAUGGAGAAGUAACCUUUUAUCGUGUCGGUUACGUCCGAUGCAAGACAUCCGUCAAUCCCCCACCUGAAAAAUACAAAUUUAAAAUAUAAAUUAUUUUUUAAAGUUAUAAAAUAAUUUAAAAAGAAUAAAAAAAUAAUGAAACAUACCAUAAAGUUCCGUCCGGUCGGUCGGGGUCGAUGACUGGUAAACCUUCUCUGCCUGGCAGACGGAGAAUGUCCUCUACGGUGUACUGCGAGUAAGGAGCACUCGGAGGCACCAUCAAAUCGGGAUGAAUCUCGGCCGCGGGCAUCGGAGGUGCCGGCAUCGUAGGAGGCACAGGAGGAGGAGGCAUCUGGGGAGGCACGUGAAGAACCGAUGGUGCACUAGAAGAAGGAGAUCCAAUGACUCUCUGAGUGUACUGAGUCUCGGGGACAGUCUCCUGACCCAAAGAACCGGGAGCUGAAGAAGACGACGGGUCUAAACGACUACCCGGCUCUCCGAACAUCUCUCUGUAAUGGGCAGUAAGUCUACCUUUUCGAACCUGAGAAAAAAAUUUAAUUUUUAAAAUUUUCGUAAACAUAUCUAAAUUCCCUAUACUAAAUAACAUAAGAUCCGUAAACCUAUCUAAAUUCCCUAUACUAACCACCUAAUCUAUCCUAAACUAAUCAAACUAGAGAGGAAUUAGGGAGACUUACCAUUGCUACGAAUUAGGGAGGAAGUGGAGAGGAAGUGGAGAGGAAAGACGGAGCGAGCUCGCUCGGGAUAUAUAUAAGAUUACUUGUCCUCGUAAUUUCCUCGUAAACUUACGAGGAAUUACAGAGGCCCGCGUUUUCAGUUACGACGAAAUAGCGACGAAAUACAAAGGCCCGCGUUUUCGUUAACGACGUUUUUACGACGAAUUAGGUUACGUGGAAUUAACGAGUUAACCAGUUACGAGGAAUUAGCGAGCCUAUAUUUUCUAUAAAUACCCACAACUUUCCUUCUCAAACCACACACAAACUCACAAAACACACCCUAUCUCAAAUCACACUCCUCACCAAAAUACUUUUCAAAUUAGAAAUAUUUGAAAAAAAAAAGAAGAAAAGAAGAUAUUAGAAUUUAUGUGGAUGAGACUUAAGUCUCGCCACAUAUAAUUCCAGUAUCUUUCUUUUUUUCUUUUUUACUAGUUUUUAUACUAUGAGGAAGUAGCUAGUCCCGCUUUUCACCAAAUUAGAAAUAUUUGGAAAAAAAGAAAGAGAAGAAGAUAUUAGAAUUUAUGUGGGCGAGACUUAAAUAUUAUAAUUGCUGGAAGUCUUGCUACAUGUAAAUCUGGUGUCUCUCUUCUUUUCCUUUUUUUUCUAGUUUUUAUUCUACGAGGUUUUUACGACGAUUUUUGUUACGAGGUGUUUACGACGAAAUCAUCCUACGUGGAAUUAAAGAGUGCCUCCUUCGUCAUUUACUUUACGUGGUAUUUACGUCUAUUUACCUUACGAGGUCUUUACGACGAUUCCGUCCUACGUGGAAUUAACGGGUUUCGCUUUCUUUAUUUUUUUUAGUUUCGUCGUUAUUUCCACGUAAGAUAACGAGGUCUUUACGACGAUUCUGUCCUACGUGGAAUAAACGAGGAUUACGUCGUACAUUCGACGUCAACUUACGAGGAAUUAACGAGUAUUACGUUUAAUCCCUAAAAUCCGAAACCCCAAACCCCAAAACCCCAUAUUCCUUAUCUUCUACUUCAUAUAUUCCAAACCCCAUCUUUAUUUUCAUUCCAAACCACAAUUCCCACAUUUACUUAUUUAUAAAACAAACUCCCACAAUUUCUUAUUCAUAAAACAAACUCCCACAUUACCUUAUUCAUAAAACAAACUCUCACAUUACCUUAUUCAUAAAACAAACUACACAAAAUCAAAUACAUCAAUCGGAUACAUCGACAUUCUCGUCAUCACUAGAAAUAUCAUCAUUUUCAUUAAACUCGUCUUCUACAGCUUCGUCUGUGGCAUCAUCGGUAAGAUCUUCGUAUUCGUGAUUAUGCGGAUCAAUGAGAAGGAUGUCAUCAACUUCUUGUUCAGGUUCCUCGACUUCAUUUAUCUGUUCUUCUUGCAAUGGUGGUUCUUCUCCACUGAUGAUUCGUCCUCGAGGUGUAACUUUGAUCACUGCUAACCAAUUUAUACCCGAAUCUCUCAUCCGAGGGUAUGGAAGGAAGCUAACUUGGUCUGCUUGUGAAGCUAAGAUGAAAGGCUCGAAUUUGUUGUACCGACGUCCACCGUUGACAUCAACUACACCAAAUUUGUUAGACCGAACACCUCUGUUGACGACGGGGUCGAACCAUUCACAUUUGAAGAUGACGCAUUUCAGCUUCAGUAUCCCUGGAAAUUCGACUUCAAUAAUCUCCGUCAAGAUCCCGUAGAAAUCUGUUUCCCCUUUCACACAUAUUCCAUAGUUACUGGUCGCCCGCUGUCUACCAUACUCAUAUGUGUGAAAAGUGUAGCCUCGUGUGAAAUACAUCUGUGAUGUGGUGACCUUUACAAGUGGAGAUUGAAUUACUUCGUGUAACCACUUAGGAUAAUCUGCAUCGUCGUCAUAAUCAACCUGCAAAAAUAAAGAGAACAUUAAAAUACAAAUCAUGUAUGAAAAAAUAGUUUGAGUUAUAAUACCUGAUUCCGCAACCACUUAAUGAAGUGCUGAUCUUUCCUUUUGUCUACGUCACUUGUGGAUAUACCAGGAAAUGUUUCUUCGACUUGAGAAACAAAUAGGCUGUAAAAUUAAUCACAUUUCAUAGGAAUGAAUCUCUUGCAAUUAUAUAAUUAAUUAUAUGUGUUUUGAAGUGUCCAUAUAUGUUACCUUUCAAAAUAACGCAUCAAUGGAUCCUCGCAAUUGAGUAGAAUAUAGGUGUGUGCACUAUGAGCGUCUUGUUCACUCGACCACCAAACCUCUUUAGACUUCCCACCGAGUCGUCCAAUCUGGCUAAAGAUGUCUGGAACACCAGCAACUGCAUAUGUUGGCGCAACUCCACCAUCAUCAUAUCUUCUUGGAGCUCUUCUACGGGUACGUACUUUUGACGCAAAGUAGUACGAUGUGAAGUGAGAAACUUCUUCCGUCAAACUUCCAGCAAUUAUAGAACCUUCAACUUUGGCGAGGUUCUUUGCUUUUCCCUUCAAAUAUUUCAUGGCUCGCUCAUACUGAUACAUCCAUCCGUAAUGUACAGGUCCACGAAGCAAUGCUUCAUAUGGGAGGUGGACAGCUAGAUGCUCCAUGACGUCAAAAAAUCCAGGAGGAAAUAUCUUCUCCAAGUUGCACAAUAAGAUGGGAAUGUUCUCCUGAAGCUGUUCUACAACUUCUUCUUUAAGAGUGCGUGUGCUCAGAUCCCUGAAAAAUGCUCCAAUGCCUUUUAUAUUCCAAAAACAAUUAAACACAUUGUUAGUCGUAUAUUAUUUUGCAAACUAGACCGUUAUAAAAUUAUUGUGAUAUAAAACACUACGAACCUGCAAGUGCUUCAUGUACGUUUGUUGGAAGUAGCUCCGCAAAUGCAAAGGGCAGUAGUCGUUGCAUAAAGACAUGACAAUCAUGACUCUUCAUCCCAGAGAACUUUUGACCCUUUUCAACACAUCUAGAGAGAUUUGAAACAUACCCAUCGGGGAACUUCACUUCUGAUGCCACCCAGUUGAACAACACCGACUUUUUUUCUGAAGACAGUCUGAAUAUCGGAACGGGAACUUGUCCAUUGCUUUUAAUAUGUAACUCGCUUCUUGAGCAAAUAUCCGGCAAGUCCAACCUCGAUUUUAUGUUGUCUUUUGUCUUCCCUGGGACAUUCAAUAUUGUAUUCAUGAUGUUCUCAAAGAAAUUCUUCUCUAUAUGCAUCACAUCGAGGUUGUGGCGCAGAAGAAGAUCCUUCCAAUAUGGCAACUCCCAAAAUAUACUCUUCUUGUGCCAGUUGUGAUGAACACCGUAAGAAUCAGGCAUAUUACGAGGGACAUGCCAAUUACCACCCCAACGAACUGUUUCGUUAGCUCCGUAGUAGUCGAUUUGUGCUUCAAUUUGUUCUCCAGUUAGAUAUGGUGGAGAAGUGUCUCUCACAACCCUUUUGUGCCUAAACAAAUUCUUGUUUCUUCGGUAAGGAUGGCCAAUGGGAAGAAAUCGACGAUGACAAUCAAACCAACUUGUCUUCCUACCAUUCUUCAGUUGAAACGCAUCUGUCGUUCCAUUACAAUAUGGACAAGCUAAUCUCCCAUGUGUAGUCCAUCCAGACAACAUCCCAUAUGCAGGAAAGUCACUUAUGGUCCACAAAAGCAUAGCUCGCAUCGUAAAAUUCGUCUUCGUUGAACAGUCAUACGUCCUCACCCCUGUUGACCACAAAUCCUUCAACUCUUUUAUCAGUGGUUGUAGGAAAACAUCCAGGGACCUUUUUGGAUGGUUCGGACCAGGUAUCAAUAUCGUCAAGAAUAGCAACUCCCGUUGCAUGCACAUCUCCGGUGGCAGGUUGUAUGGCGUAAGAAAGACUGGCCACAAUGAAUAUUGUCUCCCUGACAUUCCGAACGGACUAAAUCCAUCUGUGCAUAAUCCGAGAUACACAUUCCGGCUAUUGCUAGCAAAAUCCGGAUGUACUUUGUUGAAAUGUUUCCAGGCUCUUGCAUCUGAUGGAUGAGUCAUCUCACCAUCCGUCUGAGUAUGCUCGGCAUGCCAUCUCAUCUUUGCAGCAGUCUGCUCUGAUUGAUACAAUCUUUUCAAUCUGUCUGUAAUUGGUAGGUACCACAUCCUUUGGUACGGUACCCUAUUACGUCCCCGUCCUUGCGGCUUGAAUCGUGGCUUCUUGCAGAAUCGACAUACUUCUAGCUUCUCAUCAUCUCCCCAAUAGAUCAUGCAGUUGUCGAUGCAGACAUCUAUCAUCUCCGAAGGCAACCCAAGACUAUAAACUAAUUUCUGAAUCUCAUAAUAAGAAUCAGCAGACACAUUGUCUUCCGGCAAAUACUCUUUAAACAAGUCCGCCCAUUCGUUCAUGCAACUUUCAGGUAGAUUGUGAUCAGUUUUAAUAUUCAUCAUUCUAGCAGCCAACGACAAUUUAGAGAGACCUUCUCUACAACCACUGUAAAGUGGUUGAUUCGCCGCGUUUAACAUUCCGUAAAACUUUUUUGCAUCUAUAUUAGGUUCUUCAUCUUCAUCAUGAGCUACGAAUGCAUCAGCUACCAUAUCAUGAACCCUAUCAUAAUCUACCAUCUCCUCCUGAUGGUAACUAUGUUCAUUAUGCAAAUGAUGAUUAACCGGUUCUUCCUGAAAAUUGCUAUUACUACUACUAGCUUCAUUCUGAUCAUAAUUAUAACCUUCCCCAUGUUGAAACCAGAUAUAGUAAUUUGGCGUGAAACCUCUAUUUAUUAAAUGCUUCCAAACAUUUUCACGGUUUGCCAAUUUCGAAUUGUUGCAUUUCCGACAAGGACAGAACAUCUUACCACUUUCUUGGGCGAGCGGUGUUGAAUCUGCUUGGUGCAUAAAUGUCUCCAGCCCCGCAAGGUAUUCUUUCGUCACUCUCCCGUUAGCAUCUCUAUGCAUAUACAUCCAAUUCCGCAACUCGUAAAUAGUCCCAGAGCCAGCCAUUUUUUUUUCUUUCACGUUUUUUGUUGUUGGUGUGUUUAAAAUGAUGUUCCAACAUCCAUAUUUAUAGAAAAUUUCGAAUCUGGUAGUUGUAAUUUUACUAUGAAAUUACGACGAAAAUUAAUUGUAUGGCCAAAAAAAAAACGUGAGCCACCUACCAAGUUGGUGGAUUCAAAAUUUCCUCGUUAAGUACACGUAAAAUAUUUCGUCGUAAAGCACUCGCGAAAUUUACGUGGCUUUUACGAGGAAAAACUAUUUCCUCGUAAAAGCCACGUCAAUUUACAUCGUCUUUACGACGAAUUUUUUUUGUCGUUACCUUACGACGAAAUAACGAUGCUUUUCUUUCGCAACGUAAUUUCCUCGCAAAAUCAACGUUUUUUUACGAGGAUUAUUUUUCCUCGUUAAACUUCCUCGGUAAAGAUACGUUUUCUUGUAGUGAACCAUCUUUAGUUACAAAAAAAAUUUGGACAAUAUUUGAAAAUUUAAAUGUUCCGGAUCAAACUUACAUGACUAUUAAUAUUGUUGUAAUAUUUAAAUUUGUGUAAUAGAGUUAUGUCUUCAUGUAAUUUUUUAAAAUCUUUUUGUUAAGUUUUUUUUGUAUAUUAUUGUUGUCUAAAUUUAGCUUUAAAUAUUUUAAAUUUUAUUUUAAAGUUUUAUUUAAUUUUAUAUGUAAAAUUGAAAAUAUUUAUGAGAUAUAAUCUUUAUAAGGAUUAAAACAAUAAACAAAAAACAUUUAUGAAUCAUAAAGGUGAUGUGUGAUUAUAGGGACCAAUAUGCAAAUAAAAAUAUGAAACUUCAAAUUUGAAGUUUUGAGUAGUGAAACUUCAAAUAUAGAGUUUCACUCCUCAAAACUUCAAAUUUGAAGUUUUGAAGUUUCUUUUUGGAGAGCAAAAAACUUCAUAUUUGAAGUUAUAGAGUGUCUUUUGGAGAUGCUCUUAGUGCAAAACUGUUAGGUGAAAGAAUAUCAGAAAGUUUGUUCCAAUUCAAUCUUUUCAUGUGUUUCAGAUCACCUUUUAGACUAGUUGCUUGAAAGACUGAAUGACCUGAUAUAUUUAAUUUUUGCAGAAUUAAUGAAACCAUUAAUAAUGUGAAGAAGCAUAGUUUAAUCAAAAGUAGAAUCUAUAAAAAAAAAUUUAUUUGAGAGUCUUUUGUUGUUUUGUAAAUUGUAAUUGGUGAGUGAACUCAAAAUGCAUAUAGAGUUGAGAAAAAACGACUGCAAUUUCACUUGAGGUUAAUGGCACCCACAAUGUGUUUUGAUUCCAUCCCCUCUUUUUUUGUAAGCUAAAUUUUGAUUACCAAUCAAAAGAUACAAAGUUAUUACAAACUGACAAAAACAAAUUAUUACAUAUGUAUAUACGUCGUAUAAGGAAUCCACAUAGAUACAUGGACAAAAAGGAUGGCUAACCAUAAAUAACAGACAACAACGAAGACAGAAAGACACCAACACGACGGUGUUCUCUUCUUGAUCAAUGUACCGAGCAACUCUCUCUCUCUCUCUCUCUCUCUCUCUCUCUCUGGUGAAACCCAUUCUGUUCUCCCAUGAUUGUGUCUCAGAAGCUGUGUAUGUACAUGAACGAUGGGAGAGGGAUUUGGACUGAUGAUUCCCAGAGACUCUAGCAGGGCUAUGCAAGCCUUUGCCUUAUUGGGUCUGAGUUGCGUCUUCUCUGAUUUUGCGCAGAUGUUUGCGUGAGUUUUCCUGCUCUGAUGGCUUUAGCUGACUGUGAUCCUAAUGAUUUUCCUGCUCAAGAGAAUAUUCACAGUUUGGACUUAAAAAGACAAUAGAUCAAAAGACAAAUCGAAAUCUUUCAAAGGACAAAUGUGUUGCGUCUUAUUAGGGUGUAACUUGUUCCAUAUCUAAUAGCUGAGGUAUUUGAUUUGAGGUUUGGACAAAGUCUCCAAUAAAACUUAGCUAUCCUAACAUCUAAAUUGUGGUCUGGUACCUUUAUGACCAAUGCAAAACUGAUUCUAUUAUCACUAUCACAAUGUUGAUAAGACUAUUCUCUUAAUGUUAAGCGUAGAGAAAGAGAUCUGACCACUGUUUGGUAGAGAUAACCGUUCCUUUGAAGAUCUUUCUUUUGGAUUGCUGUGAGAUCUUGGAACAGCACCAGGUCUUCUUGAGUUAACUUCAACAGCAAGAUCGUCUUUAGCAAGCUUUGACCUAGCCUUGGAUACCACUGGAAUGCUUGAAGAUACUCCAGGUGAAGAAGAAUCAUUAUCAGACAUAGAUGGCCCUGUUGCCUUCCCACUCGAAACACCACCGGAUACAAGAGUUGAAGUGUUUGGCAUCCUGCUUGCACUUUUCAUCUGUGUUUUAUGCACACUCUCAGACUGCUCCAUAUUGUUUAAGUUUACAUCUUCUCUGAGGUUACUACUGUCAAGAAACCGAUUCUCCCAUGGACGAACAGCCAUCCAUCUUUCCAGCCAGUUCCAUCCCCAGUUGUUUUUGUCAGGUUGAAAUGCACUGUGCGCAGACAGCUUCCUAGUUCCUGCUUGCCACUACAAUACACCAAAUUCAAAUGUAAGAGAAAGAAUGAUCCUUAACUAGGAUAGAGGUUGUUGUGAGUAAAACCUGGUGAGUCAAAGCAUAAGCCAUAGCCCUCUCACGCUUAGUUGCAGCUUCCUGCCUCUUUACCAGCUUUGUCCGGAUUUGUUCAACAGAUCCAAUGCUAUCACACCAACCUCCCUGAUAAGACAAUGUCAGCACAACCAGAACUCUCUCCAAAAAAUAAAAACAAAAAUUAAAAAGUAACAUAAAAGUUGUAUUUAGACAAGUGAUCAUCACCUCUAUUUCUUGAACUCGGGCUUCAUCUGUUACCUGCUGUUGAAGUGUCUGCUGACCCGUUUCACAUUCCAAGGAGAGACGAACACGUCUUGCACGUACACGAGCCUGGACUCUUACUAACGCUUGCAUGCACCGAAGGGUUACAGCUGCUUGUUUUCUCACAACGUGUCCUCUAACAAGGGCUUGUAGUCUAACCAAACCCUUCAACGCUCUUAAAGCCCUUCUCGCCUACAAAAAAUUGUAUCAUCCAAUUUUUCUCAGUCCAAUCAAGGCCAUAAAGAAUAGACAAUCACAGCACAACAGAUAAGAGGACUUAACAAGGCUAAAAUUGAUACCAGAAAGGCUCGAAAAGCUGUUUGGAUGCGCGUUGCAGCCAGAUGUUCCUUCCUUUGUUCUUCAUAAGCUGCACCAUAUGAUUGUAGUGAACUUGAAGUAGAGACUCCAGCAUCUAUCACACUAUGCACAUUUGAAUCUUCAAAUCCAACUUGGAACUUGUCAGCAUCAAAAUCAACUGAAUGCUUCCUCCCAAACCGGCUCUUGGUAGCAAUCUUCACCUUCAUCAGUUGAACAAACAUAUAAUGAAAACACACAAAAAAAAAAUGAAAGUUGUAACCAAUAUUUGAUAAAGAGAUUAUCUAGUCAUUUACAUUAUCAUCCUUCUUUGAAGACUUUGACUUGGUGAAACCAACCAAUGCUUUAAUCCAUCUCCCUGAAGCACCCAUUGCAUCAAUGAGAACAACAAACCUGCAAAACUGCAGCUGAAUUAUACAAAAAGAAACGAGCUUCCUAUUUUGGGUCAGAGCAGAAACAUAGAAACUCAAUUGGGUCGCUAAAUGCUUCAGACAAUGUUUUUUUGUUUGACCAAAACUUUUCGGACAAUGUUUUUUUUUGUUUGACCAAAACUCUUCAGACAAUGUUUGGAAUCCCAGAGGAACACUAAAUCAAACAGCUGUCUAAAGCAAAAGAAUAAGCAAAAUUUGCAAUAAAACUUUCAAAUUGAGAGAGAGAGAGAGAGAGAGAGAGAGAGAGAGAGAGAGAGAGAGAGAGAGAGAGAGAGACUUUACCGGCGGAGACGGAAAGAUCAGCCAAUGAGAUCUCGGAGGAGGGUGUGAAAGUGAGUGAUCUUCAGUCACUGACCGUCUUCCUUGCCUACUUUCUCUCUCUCUCUUGAAACAGACUCAUUAUUUGCUCUUUCUCUCUCUAGAUUUGGGUGAAGAAUUAUUACAGAUAGGAAUUGACUUGCUUAAAAAAAUUUGAUUUUUUCUUUUAUCGUUUCGUUUCCCUCUCCUCAGAUACGAAUGAGUGAAUGAUUGGAUAGAUUGCACGCCGUCAGGGUUGCUAAAUUUGCGCCGUGUGACCUGCACAUGCUGAACUUGACAGCGUUUUGUUGAGCUUUAAAACGGCAAGCUGUUUAGAUUCCGUUAUCUCUCAUAUAUUGCAAAAAUAAUUAAUGAAGGAACCAAUAGAUUUAAAUUAUUUAUUUAGUUUAAAAGUAGCUUUUAAGUUUUUCAAUUGUUUAGUAUUGUUGAACCAAAGGUUCUACUAAAUGUUUAAUGAGUUAACCGGAGACAAAACCAUGUUAAAAAUCUCGUUUUUUUUUUUUUUUUGCUAAGCUGUAAAUAUCAUAUAUGAAGAUAGAUUCUACAAAAAGUAUUAUCUUGGUUCUGAACCAUUUUGGCAAAAAAGAGAAAAACAAGAUGGGUCAACAUUUUAAACUAGAGACUAAGGAUUUAUCGAAGCCAUAUAGCCAUAAGAUCUCUGAAUUUCUUAUACUUCCUUCUAGCGGAGAUAACGUUUCUCAGCUCUUUGUCAAUGCUCCUGAAGACCGCGAUCGCCGGGAAAGAGAUCUGGUUAUGGAUUAAGUUAUUCCGCUGCUUCCACAGAUGAAACACCACUGUUUGAGUUGCUAAUUUCCUAAGCAGAGAUAGUCUCUUAGAGUUAGGGACUUGGAUCCAAGAGAGUAGCUCUGCCCAGUCCGUGAGUGGAGAGGUAGGAGGAUGGCAUCUGCUGAAGACGUAGCUCCAGACGUCGAGACUGUAUUCGCAAGACAGAAACAAGUGCUCCCUCAUUUCUGGUUCUCUUGAACAGAAGGAGCAGAGGGGUGAUAACGGGAGACCCCACGAAGUAAGCCGGGCCUUUGUUGGCAACCUGUCAUAGUUAGCUGUCCACAUUGUAAAGGCAUGCUUCGGUAUUGAUCCUUUGAACCAGACCACGUCAUGCCAGUCUUGAAUCUCCUGCUUUGGCCUCAGGGCUUCCCAUGUGGUAAAGGCUCUGAAAACAUUAGAAGGAGAGUCACCAACAAUCCAUUCAUAUUCGUCAUCAAUAUCAUGAGAUAGAGGAAGAGUUAUAGUAGUGAGAUGAGAGUGU